rnacentral:lncRNA from 1 species
AUGUCAUCGCCUCUUGUGGCGCGGUACGCCACUGACUAAUAUGGCAUUAUUUUACGAUGGGAACUUGAAAUAGUCGUAACUUCUGACCCGGUUAUCGAAUUUGAGCGAAUCUUAUAUUGAUGGAAAGCUUAUUGAAUUUACCACAUGACAAAAAGUGAAAAUCCUAAAAAUUCCUUAUAGAAUAACCAUCAUUUAAUUUAGAAGAUAAUACUAGACAUUCUUGAGAUAAAAUUAGCUAGGAAAAGUAUGGGGUAUUACAAUAUCUCCCCCUUGAUAACAUUCAUCCUCGAAUGGGACUGACUGAGAAGGGAGAAAAGACAACUAACGUACAUGUUGAACAUGAAUAAGUGGAACAUGAUCUCAUGACUGACAAGCUGAACAUAUAAUAUUGAACAUGCAUAGCUGAUGCAUGUGUAAUUGAUUCAUGAAUGCAUGACUUAGUGUUCGGAAGAACUAAGUUUCUCACAAUGAGAAUGCAUGUCUGAUGCAUAAUUAUAUAACUGAACUGAUACAUGCGUGCCUGACUGAAUAUGCAAUGGUACUUGAUACCGAGUUUCUAAUGUGAACAUGAGCAUGAAGCUGCAUACCAAGUUUGUGAUGAACACUGAACAUAAAACUGAGUAAUCUUAAGGAGAACUGUUACCUUAAGCUUAAUCUGAGUUGGCGAAAAAGAGGUAAGGAUACUUGGUACGCAUGUCUGCCUCUGCUUUCCAAGUAGCUCUCUCGACGGACUGAUUUUGCCAAAAGACCUUAAAUAGAGAGACUUCUUUGUUCCUCAAUCUACGAGUCUAAUAGUCUAAGAUUUUGACUGGAAUAUCUUCAUAAGAGAGAGUGUUCUAAACAUCAAUGCUCUGAAUAGGGACUACAACUGAUGGGUCACCUAUACACUUCUUGAGCAAAGAGACAUGAAAGACUGGAUAAACUGAGGCUAGAUCUGAAGGCAAUUCAAGCUCAUAAGCUACCUUGCCGAAUCGACUGAGAAUCUUAAAGGGACCAACAUAUCGGGGACUGAGUUUCCCUUUCUUGUCGAACCUCUUCACUCCCUUCAUGGGAGAUAUCUUUAGAUAGACAUAGUCAUCAAUCUCGAACUGGAGAUCUUUUCUAUGAACAUCUGCAUAAGACUUCUAUCGGCUCUGAGCAGCCCAGAGUCUUUCUCUAAUCAAUUGGACUUUUUUUAAGGCAUCGAAUACUAAUUCAGGCCCUAUAACUAAGGCCUCACUAACUUCGAACCAACCAAUUAGAGAUCUACAUCUCUUACCGUAAAAAGCUUAGAAUGGAUCCAUCUAAAUACUGGAAAGAUAGUUGUUGUUGUAUGCAAACUCAAUCAAAGAUAAGUGGUCAUCCUAACUUCCCUUAAAAUCUAUUGCACACUUAAUUAGCAUAUAUUCUAAUGUCUGAAUGAUCCUUUCUGCUUGACCAUCUGUCUGAGAAUGAAAGGUUGUACUAAGAUGAACUUGGGUACCAAUACCCUUUUAGAAUGCUUUCCAAAAAUAAGAGGUGAACUGGGUACUCUAUCUGUGAUAAUGGACAACAAAACACCAUACAAUCUAACCAACUCCUUAAUGUAGAGUUUGGCGUAAUCCUCGGCUGAAUAAGAGGUAUGAACUGAAAAUAAAUGAGCUGAUUUGGUCAUUCUGACUACAAUGACCUAGACUAAAUCAUGUUGACGAGUUCAAGGCAAACCCAUCACAAAGUCUAUGUUCACAACUUUUCACUUCCAAGUAGGAAUACUAAACUCUUACAUGGACCCACUAGGCUUCUGAUGCUCUAUCUUAACUUGCUGACAUAUAGAACACUUAUCCAUAAACUCUUCAAUGACUCUCUUUAUACCACUCCACCAAUAGAUUUCUUACAAGUCACGGUGCAUCUUUAUGGACCCUGGAUGAAUAGAGUAGCGCGCACCAUAUGCAACUGCAAGAAUUCACUGCCUUAUGUCAUCUAAACCUAGAACACAGAGACGACCCUGACAACGAAGAACACUAUCUCCCCCUUGGAAUAAAACCUUUAUUUUUUUAUCCUGAACUAACUCUUUCAACUUGACAAGGAUGGGAUCUCUAUCUUGCUUUUAUUUUACCUCGAAAACUAGAGAUGAUUCUGAACUACUUUGAACCCAUAUAUCACCCUUAUCUGUAUCGACUAAGCAAACACCUAGUCUGGCGAGCUGAUGGACUUCCUGAUCUAACUUCUUCUUACUGUCCUUAAUAUGACAAACACUACCCAUGGAUAGUCUACUAAGAGUGUCGGCCACUAUGUUGGCCUUGCCCGGAUGAUAACGGACACUCAUGUCAUAAUAUUUCAAGAGCUCUAACCACCUUCUCUGACAAAGAUUGAGAUAUUUUUGAGAAAAGACAUACGUAAGUCUCUUAUGAUAUAUGAAGACAUCUACAUAAACUCCGUAGAGAUAAUGCCUCUAAAUUUGUAAGUCAAAGACUACGGCUGCUAACACAAGAUCAUGAGUAGAAUAAUUCCUCUCAUGAGUUUUAAGCUUUCUGGAGGCAUAGGCUAUGACCUUACCAUACUGCAUGAGAAAAUAACCCAAACCUACUCUAGAUGCAUCACAAUAUAUUACGAACUCAUCUAAACCAUCUGGGAGAGCUAAGGUUAGAGUUGACGUGAGUUGAGUCUUUAACUCCUGAAAACUCUUCUCGCAAGGAUCUGACCACUAAAACUUGACUUUCUUCUAAGUCAAUCUAUACAUAGGGGAUGCAAUAGAAGAAAUUCCCUGAACAAACCAUUUGUAAUAGCUAGCCAAACCCAAGAAACUCCUGAUAUCUGAUGAGAGACAGGUCUGGGUCAAUUUCUUACUGCUUUGGUCUUUUGAGGAUCUACUCUAAUGCCAUCACCGAAAAUGAUGUGACCAAGGAAUGCUACUUACCUUAGCCAAAAUUCACACUUACUGAAUUUGGCAAACAACUGAUGAUUUUUGCGAGUCUGAAGUAUUGUUCUGAGAUGAUCUGCAUAAUUAUGCUCACUAAGAAAAUAGACCAGAAUAUCAUCUAUGAAGACUAUGAUGAACAUGUCUAAGUAUUGCUUGAACACAUGGUUCAUCAAGUCCAUGAAAGCGGUUGGGGUAUUAGUAAGACCAAAUGACAUAACUAGGGAUUCGAAGUGAUCAUACCAGGUACGAAAAACUAUUUUCAAAAUGUCAUAUUCUCUGACUCUGAGCUGAUAAUAGCCGGAUCUGAGGUUUAUCUUAGAGAAAUAACUGGCACCCUGAAGUUGGUCAAACAAGUCAUCGAUCCUGGGAAGAGGAUACUUGUUCUUGACCGUGACCUUAUUGAGUUGAUGGUAGUCUACACACAUCCUAAGAGAACCAUCUUUCUUGUGCAUGAAUAAUACUGGAGCACCCCACUAGGAAAUACUAGGCCUGAUGAAUCCCUUAUCGAAGAGAUUCUUUAAUUGUUCUUUCAGUUCUCUGAGUUCUGCUGGUGCUGUUUUGUAUGGUAGAAUAGAUAUAGGCUGAGUAUCUGGGUAUUUCCCUUUCGGUAGGAAUUCAUAGAAAAUCUUCAGGAAAGACAUCUGAAUAUUCACCUACAACUGGAACUGAUUCAAGGCUGGGAGUUUUGGAACUAGUGUCCCUAACUCAAACAAGAUGAUAGACACAUCCUUUAGAUAUCAUUUUCCGUACCCGAAGGUAGGAAACAAGCUGACCUCUGAAAGUAUAUACACUACCCUUCCACUCUAGGACGGGUUCAUUUGGGAACUGAAACUGUACUAUUCUAUUUCUGCAGUCGACUGUGGCAGAGCAGAAAUGCAGCCAAUCCAUGUCGAGAAUGACAUCAAAAUUAGUUAUCUCUAAUUUGACUAAGUCAGCUGAAGUGACUUUCUAAAAUAUCAUAACUGGGCAGUUCUUGUAUACCUGUCUGGCUAUGAUGGUUUUACCCACUGGGGUAGAGACUGAAAAAGGCUCUGCUAGGAUUUCGGGAAUGAUUCUGAAGUUGCCUGCUAUAUAGGGAGUAACAAAAGACAAAGAAGCUUUUAGAUCUAGCAAAGCAUAAAUAUACACAUGAAAGAUCUGUAACGUACCAGUAACUACAUCAACAAAAUUUUCCUGAUCCUAUCGCGGCUGAAGAGCACAGAGAUAAUUUGGGCGUUGCUUACUAGUAGCACUGGUGGUGGCACCCUACUAAUUCCGGUGAACGGACUGAGCUGAGGAGUGGAGAUACUUUUCUAAUCUGACUGAGGGUAGUCUCUGACUCUGUGGCCUGGCUUUCCACAACUGAUACAUACAUCGCUACCAGCUCUGCAAAUACCCUUAUGGUUCUUACCAUAAGUCUGACAAAAGGGAUUAGUUCAGGCAUUACUAACACUACCCUGAGACCUAUAGCCUGGCGCUCUAUCUCUGCUACCCUCCCUAAACUUAGGAACUGGAACACUGCCUAAAGAAGGAGCUGGAACUAAUGACUUAGGACAAAACUGGGAACGGUUUCCUCCUUCUGAUUUAGGCUGAGCGAAGUUGAAACUACCUGUCUUUGCUCUCUUAUUUUGCUUCUCCCUCUGCUUAAUCUUCUGCUCCUUUAUCUAAUAAUCAUGAGUCAUAAGCCUAGCUAAAGUUAUGUCACUAUUCAACAUGGUAGAUCUGUACUCAUUUACCACACUAUCAUUUACCCCUGAAGCAAACUUAUUCAUCUUAGCUCUACGGUCUGCAACCACAUGAGGGGCAUAUCUGGCUAACUGAGAAAACUUAAGAGAAUACUCUUUCACCAUCAUAUUGCCCUGUCUGAGGUUGAUGAAUUCUAGAACCUUAGCCUUUCUAAGCUCUUGGGGAAAGAAUCUAUCUAAGAAUGCGGUGACAAACUCCUCCAACUCUAUAGGACCUGCAUUAACUGACCUUUCUGACUUUCACUAUUUAAACCAAGUAUGAGCCAUAUCCUACAAUUUAUAUGUAUCUAUCUCAGCACUCUCAACAAUAGUCACCCCCAUGAUGUCUAUCACCUUCUGAACCUGAUCAAUGAAUUCCUGAGGAGGAUUCAUUCAGGUGAAGUCCCGAAUCCUAGCUGUAGCUGAAUUGUCCAUUGGGUUGGACAGAAUGACUGUUGGCCAUUCAUUUUUAGCGGAAACUAACUAAGAAAGAGUAGUUAAUGCAGCCCUGAACUCCGCAUGAGAAACAUGAUCGCCAAAGGAUCUUUAGACUGAGGAGCUGACUUAUUUUUGUUUCUUCUUUUAGGAGGCAUGUUAUGUAGAAGAAAGGGAGAAAUAGAUUAGACUGAGAGAUUGACUUGAUAUUAUGCUCACUGGUAUGACAUGAAUACUGAAAGAGGUGAAACUGUUCUUAAAACAUCUUAUAGCCUCUUGUACAUAAAUGUGGCGCACAACACACCUAUGUACAAGAAUCUACUAGAUGCGGCUUUCAGACUUCCUAGGACUCUAUUGAAGCUUAGGCUCGGAUACCAAGUUUGUAAUGCCCCAAAUUAGGUUCCCGAAAUACUACACGGUGCUCAUGACCCCGAAGGACCACAAGCUAAUCCAUGACUGAUAUCUGUACCUGUAUACUGCAUAAUAUAUUGAAUAAUGCAGAAACAUACACUGAAAGGCCAAAAGGUUCAAUACUGAACAUGAUCUGAAUGAUAUAACAUCUGUGUGUGGUAACAGAAUACCCAAAACAAAACUAAAAAUACUAAAUUCUGAAACAUAAUAGUCUAGAAAGCCCCUAACUAACUGAACUGUCUGAGUAAGGAAUUGAUGGGACAUGUCCCCAACUAACUCCAACUAAUAAACUAAUUAAUGAGAUUAUAGCAAAAUAAUCAUGUCCUUGAAAGAUGAGGAAUCACUUCUAACUCUAUCUGCGGAUAUUUAGGAUCUAUUUUUGCUCUGGAGCUUGUGUCUCUGAACCUAUGGUAUAAGACAUCAUAGCGCAAAUGUGUCAGUACUUUGAAUGUAUUGGUAUGCAUGUGAGAUAGGCAGAAUGCAUAGGGUUCAUACGUAUGAACAAUAAUAAUAACUGACUAACUAUCAUGAGUGUGAGAAUACAUGCAUGAGACAUAACAACUGACACUAGUAUUGUGAUAACUUGAUUACUGAAUCUGAAUAUAACUGAUAACAUGAGUGACUAUAUCUGACAGUUCUGAAUCAGAUAGAACUAUCUGAGUUCUGUAUUGCAUCUGAGUUGACUGUAAUUGAUAGUCCUAAAAUCUGAAGAACUAUCUGAGUUCUAUUACUAAGACUGAUUGACUGUAUCUGACAGUCCUGAUUCUGUAACAUGAAACUGUGGGAAGUAAUUAUGUAACCAAUAUACCCCUGAUACGCCAUUAUGGCUGAGUUGGGGUCCAAUCUGUAAUCCCAAUUAGAAGGGUGUCAAUACAAUGCCACUGGUAAGGACAAGUUAUGGGCGACCCUCAUCUGACAGUGUCCCCUAUAUAAGAAUGGUAGGGCCCUUAUCUGACAGUGCUUAUCCACCUCAUCAACCCUCAUCGGACAGUGUUGAUGUCUCAACCUAUGUUGGCUACAUAGUUUUGUAAUGCAAGGAUGACUUCUAAGAAUCACACCCUCAUCUGAUAAUGUGUGUUCCCAUUCUUGGGUUUACUCGGUGAUAAUUCCUACUCCCAUCUGAAUAGACUCUGAAUAUGAUUUACUGAACUGAACUGGGCUGAGUUACUGAAUUCUGUUGAUAGAUGAAAUACUACUAAUAUAUGACAACUAACUGAGUUUAUGAGAUCAUGGAGAUUUCCUAAGUCAUAAGACUGUUUGAAGUCUAAGCAUCAUAGCUUGACUGAGAGUUUCAUGAAAACAUGACAUGGCUCUAGGUACACAGCUAAUGUUUUGGGUACGAGUACCCCCAGGACUUGAUAGAAGGAAACUGACCAAGCAUAACGUACUUGAACACAUAACUAACAUCAUAAUCCAUAAUACAUUUAUAGAAGCAUUUCAUCAAAACAUGUGAUAGGCAUAACUUGUACAUACAUGGGGAUUUCAUGGUAUCGUGCUAGUUAGGCCCUUUUCAUUCAUCUAGGAAUUUAAUGAAACAUGUUGUAGGCAUGGUACAUGUAAACAUCAUUGUACAAUAAUUAAAUCACAAAGAAAAUCCAUAACAUGAAGUUGGAAAAGGGAUUCUUGGACUUCAUGGACGAAAGGAGUCCAUGAAUGAACUCUAUGCAUACCUUAGUUCGUGAUUUCGUGAAGAUUGACGGUGAAACUUUCUUGAAAUUGGAUCUUCUUUGAAUACCCUAGCUUGUUCUUGAGAGAAAAUAGCAUAUUUUGGGUGAAAAGUGGCUGAAUCACGUGUUAAAGGGCUUAAAUAGGGGUGGGAAGUUGACCCUUUUAACCCUAGAUGCGUCAUUUAAUUUCAGUAAAAUUUUCCUGAACUGCACCCCUAGCGCGACACGGUGCUAUCACACAGUGUCACUGGAAUUUGAUAAUUGGAAAACUGAGUAUGGCGCGACGUGGAGCCAUCGCGUUUUCCCUUCUUUUACGACCUGGAACUUUGGCACCACGCGAGGAAAUUGCGCUAAGACACUGGAAAAGAACAAUUUUUAAUUUGGGCCCUGGCGCGAUGCGCCAUAAUCUCGGAAACCUACUGGAAUUUGCCAAAUGUCAUUUCCUCUUGAGCCGUGGUGUACCACUGACUAAUAUGGCAUUAUUUUAUGAUGGGAACUUCAAAUAGUCGUAACUUCUGAUUCGCUAAUCAUAUUUGGGCGAAUCUUAUAUCGAUGGAAAGCUUAUUGAAUUUCCCACAUGUCAAAAAGUAAAAAUUUUAAAAAUUCCUCAUAGAAUAACCAUCAUUCAAUUUAGAAGCUAAUACUAGGCACUCUUGAGAUGAAAUUAGCUAGGAAAAGUAUGGGGUAUUACAUCCCUGCAACUGGUAACGCAUCACUUGUGGCCUUGUGUUUUCUCGACUGUUUAUUCUGGGUAUCCCAUUUAUUUGUGUUGUCAUUUUUCUACAAAUCUUAUUUGUUCCUAUUAAAACCUUGUUUUUGAAUCUUCUGGAAAAGUUUCAUUGUUUGGAUAUCAUCAAGAGCAAACUCCACUAUUGGAUGAUGCUCGGGACUGAAAGUUUCUGUAUAUAGAUAAUUUAACUACUCAGAAUAACUAGAAACCUAAAAUGCUAAAGUCAACACAUCACCAAAAACUGAAAUCCACUAUUUGACAUCACCAUAAUUAAAUUCAAAAGGAAGGUCGCGAAUGAAAACUGUCCCUGUAGAUCAUCUACUACCUCACUUGGCAUAGCAUUGAUCUGUUUGCCCUUACCUAAAACGUCAUCAAGUGCUUUAUUCGGAGUAGAUGCAUCCAGUGGUUCAUCCAGCGGGAGAAAAGUGUCAAAUUUCUUUUCCUUCUUUUGGGGGCUUGAAAUAUCAUUUCCUGAAGUAGCUUUCCCUAUUGAAUUUGGAAAAAUAAAGUUCUGGAGAAUUUUUUUGGCGAUGUUCGCUUCCUCGUCAAAGUUAACUUCAGUUUGGUUAUCUUCUUCUAAAAGGUCAGAGUCAUCAUCGUCCCCUUCAGCUUGCUGAAAUUUUACAUCAAUGUCAAUGUCUUCAUCCUUCAUAUCACUACCACUAUCUUCUUUUGUGCUCUGUUCUGCAGAAGCAAUAGUAUAAAUUAAAUUAUUCCCGAAAUCAUGAAGUAAUACAUUCAAGAGCAUAAACACAGUAACUGGCAUAGUAUUACAACAUCACCACUAAGAUUAUAGGGAAAAGAAAGAACUAACUGCAGAAUAAUUUAAAUGAAUGAAGUGGCAACCAUCAAGAAUUCAACAUUCAUUACAUCCAGCCUAACAAAGGUUUGAAAAAGAAAAUAGCGACCCUUAAUCGUGCCUUAAACAUUAGGAAGAGGAAAUGACACAACACCUAUACAAUGGUCUUGUAGUUGGCAAUUUUAAGGUCAAUUUAAUGGAGGUCGGAUAUAUUGAAUAUAUGAAGUGCACUAAAAAUUAAUGAGAGAAGAAGCAAAAUAGGUUUUAUAUUAUCAUAGUCAUUCAACGAAUAAUUGAUAUUUCAUAAAGUUUUUUAGUUGACAAAAAAGUAAAAUUAAGAAAAUAAGUAAUUAUUUGAGAUAAAAACUAUUAGUUGAGUGAAUUUUUGGGAAAUCAAUCCUCUAAAAGAAAAUGUAUGAUACUUAUAUAGUUUUUCUUCAUAUCAAUGAUAUAUGUAUGAAGUUUCUAAGCUGAUAAAAAAAAUAUACCUGUGUAGGCACCAGACAAGUUUGUUGUUGCAACUGGUAUGAACGCAUUCUGUAACCUUGCUCUAAUGAAUGGUAUAAUUGAUAUACCUGAUUGGUGCUAUUUUAAGGCAUUUGGAAGUGAAGAAAAAUCAAACUUUACAGUAGCACCUUCAGCCCCUAAUUGGUUCUAUUUUUAGGCAUUUGGAAGUGAAGUAAAAUCAAACUUUACAGCAGCACCUUCAGCUGAACACCAUGCUCUAUUCUUCGACAAGUCGUCAAUUUCACAUGUAUCCAAGGUUUGCUUCUUCAACUACAUAGAUGUUAUUAUUGAAAUAAUGCAUUCUCGUAAUAAUUGCGUUUAUCAUGGAACUAUCAUUCAGGUCAUUUGAUCAUCUAGUCAUGAUGAAAUUAAUGUAUAAAAUAUUUUAAUUGUGAUAUAGGGCACAUCAUGUUAACUUCCUACCAGGGGCGGAUCUAUGUAGAAGGUUUGGGAUACCAUGGCACCCACACUUCUCAGUUGAAACUCUAUAAAUUUAUGUGUAUAUGUAUCAGCUAAUGUAUAAAUAGUAUGUUUGACACCCACAAUAUCAAAGUAAUUGGUAGUCCAAGUGGUCGAAAUGGCUGGGUUUUACUCCAGCAGGGCGGGUUCGAUCCCCGUUCAACACUGUAUUUUCAAUUUUUUAGAAUGAUUUUUACCACUAUGCUGUCUGUUUUCUCUUUCAAAAACAUAUUGUGGCUAUGAAGAAUGGAAUCCUUAACUUCUUCUUACAAAGCACUUGACAGUACCAACUAGGCGCAAGCCUUCAUGUCAUACCAAUAUUUGUUAAUAUAUAUAAUUAUAGUUUAUUCUUUGAAUAUUGACUCCACUAUCCUAAAAUAUAGUACGGAGUAUACGUUAUUGUUCAAAACAAGGUGGCGCCCAGAGCUUCUGAAUCCUGGAUCCGCCUCUGCUUCCUUCCAACCAAGUUUUGUAAAGUAGCUAAAUACAAUCCAAUUAUACUUUAGCAUCAACAUAAGAUACCCAAGGAAAUUCACCGACAUUCAUUUACCACACCAGUACAUGUCUGCACCGACCAGGAUAUCAAUCGAAGUAGGUAAAGAACAUUUUGCACAUUUGAAUUUGGACCAUUAAAGGAAAUAGCUAAUUGAGUAAGUACAAGACUACCUAAACUGGGAAGUUGGCAGAUCUGUAGGCCAUGUGAUCCCUGGCACAUAAAAGUGGGAACAAUUGCCUUAAAUACAUCUCCAAAUGAGAGAAGAAUUCAACAUCAUCACUCGAUGUAAAUGGAAACAUUGCCCCGACACUACCCAUCACAUUCCCGUAGAUUAUACAUUCCCCCACUCCUGAACUAGGUCAUGACCUUUGCAGGCAAGAGACCACAUCACCAACAUGAAAUUCUACUAUUUCUUCAACCAUGUUUGGGGCUCCAUUAAGCUUCUCAUGCUCCCAUUUUAUUUUUCCACUAGUAGGAUCUACUUCAAUCUUAUCUGAGACGUCUGAGGUAAUCUCACAAAGUAGAUUUCCCAAACAUAUCAGUUCCUGCCACUGUGUGAAAAAUCUACAUGUUAUGCUGCAGUUAGCCAUCUAGGAACCGUAUCAUCAGCAAAUAUGUACAGUUAAUUUUUGUCACAUCUACACUUGCAAUCAUAGAAUGACUCUAACAAGUGAACAAUUGUAGCAUAUCAGUAGAAAUAAACACUUCCGAAAUCAACUAUCCCCAAGUAAAGUUGUUAUCAUUUGAAAGGACCCAGUAAUGGUAGUAUAGUAAGUCAAUUCAGUUGAAACCCAUUGCCUACACACGCCAUGUGUUUUUCCUUACUUAUUUUUAUUAUGUAUUUCAUCACCAUCCCUCGACUCUAUGGCAAAACUCUCAGUUGCAGAUCUAGUAGGUGUGAAAAACUCAGAUUUUUCAUGCCUAUAUUCUGCUCUGCCGGUCAGACUAUCUGGACCAGAAGAAUUGUCUAACAACAACAGACUCAGUAAAUAAACAUGAAUAUCAAAUCUUUAAUGAAAACCCAAAUCAAUGAAUCAAACAAAAACAACAAAAACAAUAAUAAUGAAAUCCCACAAGUGAAAUAUACGCACACAUUGUCCCUACCUUCGUGAGAUAGGGAGGUUCUGAUCCUCAGUUUGAGUACAACAAAUUAAAGUAGAUAAGAAAUCAAAGCACGACAUGAAAAAAUAUAGCAACUAAUAAUAAUAAAAACAAUAACGAUAACAAAAAGAACAACAUACCCCAUGAAAUGGACGUAAAGUGUACGUGGAUCUUAGCCUAUUGUGAUAAAAAGUUUAUUUUUGGAGGACCAUCUAUAACAUAGUAGAGGUUUCCAAUGAUUAAUAACUCGAUCAUGACAGGAUCAAGCUUCUGCUGGUUCUUGUUGGUCCUAUUACGUUCUCGGCUGUGAGAAAGACCUUCGCAUUAUUGACCAUGUUUGAUUCAUCAUUAACCAACUUCAUGAGCUUUAGUUGAUGGAAUAUUAUUAACAAUAAUAUCAUUACGACCCUUAUAUACCUCAGUUGCACUACCAGGGGCUGACUUUUCAUUCAUUCUUAGGUGUCAUAUUUGGCUUUGCUUGUAGAUACUAUGCUUAUGCUUGAUAACGCCCCCAUUACUUCACUGACAAAUAUCUUCUGCACGACAGGCAGAAACUUUAUUGGCUCCAUUUCUUGUCAAAUAAAUACAAUAUUAUUUUUAUUAUUUGACAUGAUUAGCAUUACAGUUGUUUCCACAUUUAGAAACUAAUUUAGUAUAAUUACAUUGUGAAUGGAUAAUUCACAAAGAUUAUGACUUUUUUCGUGAUAUUAGUUGGUUGUGCUAUGAUUUAUAAUGAAACCAAGCACAAAAAAUCCUCUAAAUCCAUGACCUUUAAAUCAACAUCAUAGUCAGUGUUUAGUAAGUAUAGAAUGUAUGUAGACGAUAUCUCAAUCUUUGUAAGGAAGAAAUUAUUUGUAAUGAUCCUCGACUCAAAAAAGUGAAAUACAAGUAAGAUUGAAAAGAAAGAUAACAACAACAAAUAAUUAUUAAGAUUAUUCUCUUGCGAUUCUAAUAAAAUAUCUUUAAUUUAUUUUAUAAAUUUUUAAAGUAGUUAUAUAAUUAUGAGGCAUAAAAUUGUAUUAAAUUUUAUUUUUUUACAUUUUGGCCUUUCAAAUUCUUUUUUUUAAUACAAAAAUUUUAUGGCCUUUCAAAUUCACAAUAUGAUCAAACAAAUUUCUAAUUCACCUAUAUUACCAAAAAGUGUAAUCAAUGGUAUAUCAAUAUAUAAUAUUGGAUAAAUACGAAAACAAUUAGGAUAUUAUGUAAGCCGAAAAAUAAUCAUACAAGUAUGAAUAUCAUCAUAUCGAUUAUAUUCAAUAAUUAGGAUAUUAUGUAAGCCAAAAAAUAACCAUACAAGUAUGAAUAUUAUCAUAUCGAUUAUGUUCAACGACAUUAACAAACAAAUUUAUUCAUCAACAUGUCUACUCAUCAAAACAAACUAAAAAUGAUAACAAUUUGAAACAAUUUUGUGUAAGCUCAAAUAUCAAUUAAAGGUGUGGAGCAACAAUAAUCUCUCUACUUAAAUUUAUUAUCAUCUUCAACACUUAAUUAUUCGUCAUGUAUGAUUAGGUGUCUUUUUUUCUACUUUUACCACCAUCAGUGACGUGUAGUUCUUCCUCGGGCUCUUUCAAGUUACCCAAUGAGACAUCAGCAGAUACCUGUUUAUAUUUGAAUAAGUUAAUUUAUCAACAUAUUUAUUUAUCAUGUUCAACUUUAAAAUGAGUUGAACUCUAUAAUUAAAACAAUAAAUAAAAUUGCUGAAAUAGAAAUCCACAAUCUUAAGAAGCAAAAUAUUUAAAUAACCUGUAUUUCAGGACUCCACUCAGAAUCAAACAACUCCUUGAUGUCCAUUAGAAUCAAAAUCAUCUCUUCCUCAAUCAAAAUGUUAUUAACAUUAGAAUUUUCGAUAAUUUGUACUUUCGUAGACAUGGUUGUAAACUUUUGAACCAAAGAUCUUACUAAUCUAUAUCUAGAUUUACGUAUAUUCUGCUUGCAUGAGUGGUGAAGAAGCUAACUUCACCUAUUAAUAAUAAAUAUAAUAAAAUGUAAGUUUAACAUUUGUUGAAGAAGAUAGCACUUCAAUUCAAAAUAGUGACAACUAAAUUUAGGACAAUUACCAAAAAAUUCUUUCACGGUUGUAGAUGUGACUAUCACUAUGUACGGGCCAACAUCCUUAUUGUACAAGGAAGGAGAAAAUUUUUCACCAAGCUCUUCCCAUAAGGUAAUUUUGACUUUCUCAAAACUAUGCAUGGAAAAAGACAAAGGAAAUUAAAGGUGUAUAAUUGAUAUAAUUAGUCUAAAUUUAAUCAAAAGAAGUUUUUAUACUUUGGUUCUAAUAUGAAGACAUAUACAGAAUUUGGUAAGCUUGUUUUGUUAUAUAUAGAUUUAAGAAAUCACCCUAAAAUCGAGUAAAAGGAAAAACCUGGAAGAAUUUAAAUGCAUAUUUUUUUUAAGUUUCAUGCACUUAAAAUACAUAAGGUGCAUUUAAAUAACACCAAAGAAAAAAAUUAUGAAUGAUAUAUUUUUAAAAAUAAAACUGAUAAGUGAAUAGGUACUUAUAUACAUAUGAAGUUUGGAUACAUAACAUCAAUGAAUGACUAUAAUGAAGAUAUUAAGCGGUUAUCUAGAGAUGAGUGACUUACUAAUCAGUAAUAAUUUUAAUCUUUCUUAUUUUGCCCUUCGAUCCACAAUUUUCUAUAUCACCAAUUUCAUAUAAACAACCAACCACAUCUACAAAUAAAGUGGGUGAAAUAUGACCUUUAAGAAUAAUGUUGUUGUUUUAAUAAUUUAUGCAAUAAUUAAUAAUAAGAAAACUAUAGACCUGAUAACACAAUGUGAUUAUCCACCCUUGAAUCAAUCAUAGUUGGUUUAAUAAACUGAAAUCUAUUUAUAGGAAUAUAAACAAUAUCUUCAGAUAAAUUGUUGAUUACAGUUGAGGCAGACAAAAUGAUUGUCAAUGGACUUUCAAUAGGUCUGUAUGCAAAAGUGCUUUCAACAACUUUGAAAUUUUUUAUGGUAAAUAAAGAACCUUCUUUCAACAUGUCUUUCAGCCUAUUCACUUGAUUUGUAUCCAUUAUACCAUAGAUCAAAUUUUUCUGAUGAAAGAAAGUAAUAAGUGUUAUGUAAACUAAAAGUUUAAAGAAGAAAUGAUGUUUUUAAAAUAAAAAUCAAUGUAAGAAAGUACCUUUUCAUCAAUAAAUAUCAUUUCUACACUGACCCACUUAUCAUUUUUCUUGUGAUUAAUAACAUCCCACAUUCUACAAAGUCUAACCCUUAUCAUGAAAUCAUUUCUGCCAGAAACCAACUGUAAAAGAAAAGAAUAUGUCAUUAUAAAAUCUCAACUAAAUGGUAUACAAUCAAAAAAUAUUACAGUAUGCAAAUAAUUUACUUUCAAUCUAUAUAUAAUGAUAUAAUUAGAGUAUGAAAGGACACAAUAAUAAAAUAGCUAUAUAAUUAUUUAUAAACUAAUAGACAUUAAAGGAUUCCGCAGUUACAAAUGAGGAAUAUGAAACAAAGGAAUAAUGAGGGUCAACAAUAAAUUAGCAAUGCAAUAAUUCAAUGAGUAAUAUACAAUUAAAAUACAAUUAAAGACAUCGAGAGUUAUAAAUGUGGAAGAUGAAGGAACAAGUUUUGUAUUUACUGUCACUAUUUUCUAAUACCCUUUCAUCUUCGGUACUUGAUUUGCAACAUGUCUUUGUUCAUUCAUCUUCAGCUUGAUCAUCUUCUUUUCUUGCAGCCUACGUAGAAAAUCAACAUUAGCAUUGCAAGCUAUAUAGGAAACUUACAAAAUGUUUUAAAACUGCAAUAAAACAUCUCUUGAACUUUUUAAAGCAUUCUGCAUCUAAUAAAACUACUACUACCCAAUCCCAAACAAUUAGUGGUUAACAACAUGAAUCCUCAGUGACCAUGUUAUUCCAUUUAAACUCAUCUCAAGCCAAUAAAAGCAUCUUGCAUCUAAUGAGUUUAAAACAAGAAGCAAGAAGUGUUGAAAAGGCCAUCAAAAGGCCUAUCAUUGUCUUAAUGAAAAGUUCCAAUUCUUUGACAUAUUAUUAUUAUUAAUACCACAAGUUCAUCUAUCUACCCUAUUAUAUAUUUACUUUUACACUCUGGACAUAUGGACUUCUUGUAAAGGAUCACUCUUGAUCUAUGAAUCAUUGUCCCAAUCAUGUUAAAGAAGUCUUUGUCACAAAGGAGUUAUCCUAAAGAAAGAAUGGGGGUAGUUCAUAGACUCCAAAAAAGUAUAGAUGAACUUAGCUGAUAUGAGGUUAAUUGUCAGGAUGCAUUAUCAAAUGCAAAAUAACCUUUCGGGAUUUGAAUAUAAGAAAAACCUUUGUGAGACUUACCCCUUCUGCUUAUACAUAUCACUCACUGAAACACCUUCAGCAGCUGGCGUACCCUCUAAAAUAAGACCCUUCUAUCAUAGAAUAGAAUAAUUUUACGUCCACAUUAUCUUAAAGUAAUCCCUUUUAAAAAGUUUAAUGUCGAGACAAUAUUACCAAUAGAAGCCAACCUUUGCUAGGUAAAGGUUACAUUGGUUAUUACCUUUUUGGUCUUCUGCUAAUCCUUAGCAUAAGCAGCUAUCUUGUCCAAGGUCUUUAAAAUAUUUAAUUGUCGACCCUUCAGAAAGACACCUAAACCAUCCACAGCACUGGCAGCAGAAAUAAUAGUUUUACCAGAUUUGGCUAUUUAAAAUUUGAGAAAUCCUGCACCCCUUGGUCAUCUGUAACAUGCUCCAUAAUCAAUAUCAAAAGGAAGGUUGCUAACGAAAAUUGUCCCCUGAAAAUCAUCUACUCCCUCACUUGGCAUAGCAUUGAUUUGCCUGCCCAUACCUAAAACAUCGUCUAGUACUUUAUUUGGAGUAGAUUCAUCCAGUAGUUCAUUCAAUGGGAGAAGAGUGUCAACUUCCUUUCUCUUCUUUUGGGGGCUUGAAAUAUCAUUUGCUGAAGUAGCUAGCCCUAUUAAAGUUGGAGAGAUGAAGUUUUGGAGAAUUUUUUUGCAAUGAUCGCUUUCUCAUCAAAGUUAACUUCACUUUGGUUAUCUUCUUCUAAAAGGUCAGAGUCAUCAUCAUCCCCUUCAGCUUGCUGAGAUUUUCCAUCAAUGUCAAUGUCUUCAUUCUCUGUAUCACUACCACAAUCAUCUUUUACGCUCUACUCUGCAGAAGCAAUAGUGUAAAUUGAAUUAUUACCGAACUCACGAAACAAUACAUUCAAAAUCUUAAACACAGUAACUGCCACAGUAUUACAACAUAGCCACCAAUAUUUUAGGAAAAAGGAAGAACUAAUUGCAGAAUGAUUUAAAUGAAUAUGAAGUGGCAACCAUUAAGAAGUCAACAUUCAUUACAUCCAGCCUAACAAAUGUUUGAAAAAUAAAAUAGUGAGCCUUAAUCGUAGCCUUAAAAAUUAGAAAAAGGAAAUGGCACACCACCUACACAAUGGUGUUGUAUUUGGCAAUUUUACGAACGAUUUAAGGGAGGUUGGAUAUGUUGAAUAUAGGAAGUGCACUAAAAAGUGAUGAGCGUUGUCCUAUUCUUACUAAUGUACACGUGUAGGCACCAGACAAAUUUGUUGCUGCAACUCGUAGGAACCCAGCCUACAAUUUGUUACAAAAUUUCUAAUGAAAUCGAUGGGGUUCACGCACCUCCAUAACUUCUAAUUUUUUCCAACAUAUAAUUGCGAUAGAAUUCACAUACAGGUCACUCACUCUUGCUACUGCUGAUGCAAGUUGGGGCAGUUUAUACUUUAUUUGCAAUUCUUGGGUUUCUCCUGUUGACAAUUAUCAUUAUGACAGUAUUAUCAAUAGAAGCCAACCUUUUCCACGUAAAGGUUACGAUAGUCAUUAUCAUCCUUUUUUGUCUUCUACAACUCCUUAGCAUGAACAACUAUUUUGUCCAAGGCCUUUAAAAUAUUUAAUUGUUGACCCUUCAGAAAGAUACCUAAACCAUCCAUAGCACUGGCAGAAAAAGCAGCUUUAGCAGAUUCGACUAUUUUAAAUUUGAGAAAUCCUGUACCCAUCGGUCGUCUGUAACAUGCUCCAUAAUCAACUUCAAAAAGAAGGUUGCUAAUGAAAAUUGUCCCCUACAAAUCAUCUACUCCCUCACUUGGCAUAGCAUUGAUCUGUUUUCCCUUACUUAAAACAUCGUCUAGUACUUUAUUUGGAGUAGAUACAUCCAGUGGUUCAUCCAACGGGAGAAGAGUGUCAACUUGCUUUCCCUUCUUUUGGGGGCUUGAAAUAUCAUUGGCUGAAGUAGCUGGCCCUAUUAAAGCUGGAGAUAUAAUGUUUUGGAGAAUUUUUUUUUUGCUAUGCUCACUUCCUCAUCAAAGUUAACUUCAGUUUGGUCUUCUUCUUCUAAAAUGUCAGAAGUUAUCAUUGUCCCCUUCAACUUGCUGAAAUUUUCCAUCAAUGUCAAUGUCUUCAUCCUCCGUAUCACUAUCACUAUCAUCUUUUGCGCUCUGUUUUGCAGAAGCAAUACUGUAAAUUGAAUUAUUCCCAAAAUCAUGAAGCAAUACAUUCAAGAGCUUAAACACGAUAACUGGCAUAGUUUUACAACAUCACCACCAAAAUUUUAGGAAAAAGAAAGAAUAAUUGCAGAACAGUUUAAAUGAAUAUGAAGUGGAAACCAUCAAGAAUUCAACAUUCAUUACAUUCAGCCUAACUAAGGUUUGAAAAAGAAAAUAGCGACCCUUAAUCGUACACUUAAACAUUAGGAAGAGAAAAUGACACAGUACCUACACAAUGGUGUUCUAGUUGUCAAUUUUAAGGUCGAUUUAAGGGAGGUUGGAUAUGUUAAAUAUAUGAAGUGCACUAAAAAGUGAUGAGAGUUGUUCUUUCUUACUAAUGUACAUGUUUAGGCACCAGACAAAUUUGCUGCUGCAACUGGUAGGAACCCAGUCUGCAAUUUGUUACAAAUUUUCUAAUGAAAAUUUAUUUUACUAAAAAUAUGUAACAUAAGCGAUAGAAACACUAUUUGUGAAUAAGCAUGAGAACUUUUUGGUAUUUAGAAAUUGAAUACUGCAUACUAUAGUGAAGAUGCGUUGGCACAAAGUCAAGAAUGCACCCUCUGUAUUUAUCCCUUAGAUACAAUGUUAAAUUAAAUAUCAAAUUUGAAGCUCUUCACCUAUAUAAGAACUUUAGAAAGUUCCCCAAACAUCAACCAUAAUCCAAUAAGGACAAAACUUAAUAAGAACCCAUUACCUGCACUGUGUAGCACUUAUGGCAGCUCGUCCAGCAGAAAAUGAUAGAAAUUUUUGCAGGUCAUGCCAUGCUUCUUUGGGAUAUUGCUUCAGAUUACCACCUAUGGGGUUCACACACCUCCAUAAGUUCUCAUUUUUUCCAACAUAUAAUUGUGAUAGAAUUUAUAUAGAGUGAGUGAAUUCUAUAACAAGUCACUCACUCUUGCUGCUACUGAUCUAAGUCAGCGAAGUUUACACUUUGUUUGCAACUCUUGGCUUUCUCCUGCCGACAAUUAUGAUUAUGACCACAUUUUCUUUGUGAAUCAGGUAUGAUUUAGUAAAAUGUGUUUUUUAGAUUUAGUCAUAUAUUUAUUAUUUGUGACAGGCUUGGCUUCCUAGUGAAACUACAGCAGCAUUGUGCAGCUACAGAGAAGACGAGUUGCUUCAUUUGAGAGGGACUAGAAUAGAAAAGCUUGAGGAAUGGGGCAGGGAUUAUGACUAUGAUAUUCACAAUAAUUUUGGAGAUCCUGGCAGCAGUUCACUGCUUGCCCGACCAGUCCUUGGAGGAUACAAAGAGUAUCCUUAUCCAAGAAGGGGAAGAACCGAAAGACCUCUAUCCAAGACUGGUGGUUAAUCAUUCACUCUUUUUAUAUUUUAGCAGUUUUAUUACUGAUUUUUAUUUCAUUUGAUUUGAUUUUUUACUGCUUUGGAAGAUCCUAAGAGUGUAAUCCGGCUACCUCAGAUAGCAAGCUUUGUAAGUUAUUGCCCAAGGGAUGAAAAAUUUAUUCCCUUAAAGCUAAAAGACGUCCUUAGUAAUAUAAAAAAAGCUAUGGCACAACUCUUUUCUUUUCAGCUUUCUGCUAUAGGAGAUGUGACUCUUAAUGAGUUUAAGAACCUUGAAGAUGUUCUGCAAGUUUAUGAACAGGAGCUCCUGGUUAUAGGAGAUGUCACUUUUAAUGAGUUUAAGAACUUUGAAAAUGUCCUGCAAGUUUAUGAACAGGAGAUCCUGGUUUUCAUAAGUAUCUAAUGUUAAAUUAAAUAUCAAAUUAGAAUAUCUUCACCUAUAUAAGAACUUUAGAAAUUAGGCGUGGCUUUCUAGUGAAACUCUAGUAGCAUUGCGCAGCUACAGAUAGGACGAGUUACUUUAUUUGAGAGGAACUGGAAUCGUAAAGCUUGAGGAAUGGGAUUGGAUUUAUGACUAUGAUAUUUAAAUAAUUUUGAAGAUCCUGACAGCAGUCCACUUCUUGCUCGAUCGAUCCUUGGAGGAUACAAAAAGUAUCCUUAUCCAAGAAGAGGAACAACCAGAAGACCUCCAUCCAAGACUGGUGAUUAAUCUUUCGCUCUUUUUAUGUUAUAGCAGUCUUAUUGCUGAAAUUCUAUCACAAGUCACUCACUCUUGUUGAUCCAAUUCAGGGCAUUUUACAUUUCGUUUGCAAUUCUUGGGUUUCUCAUGCUGACAAUUAUGAUUAUGACUGUAUUUUAUUUGUGAAUCAGGUAUGAGUUAGUAAAAUGUGUUGUUUAGCUUUAGUCAUAUAUUUAUUAAUCAUGACAGGCUUUGCUUCCUAGUGAAACUCUAGCAGCAUUGUGCAGCUACAGAGAGGAUGAGUUGCUUCAUUUGAGAGGAACUGGAAUCGAAAAGCUUCGGGAAUGGGACAGGGUUUAUGACUAUGAUGUUUAUAAUGAUUUUGGAGAUGCCGACAGCAGUCCACUUCUUGCCCGACUAGUCCUUGGAGGAUACAAAGAGUAUCCUUAUCCAAGAAGGAGAAGAACCGGAAGACCUCCAUCCAAGACCGGUAAUUAAUCUUCGCUCUUUUUAUGUUUUAGCAGUUUUAUUGCUGAUUUUUAUUCCAUUUCGUUUGAUCUUUUACUGCUUUGGAAGAUCCUAAGAGUGAAAGUUGGCCACCUCAGAUAGCAAACUUUGAUUUUUUGCUCUUGAAGCUGAAAGACGUCCUUGGUAAUACGCAAAAAGCUAUGGCACAACUCUUUUUUCUUCAGCUUGCUGCUAUCAGAGAUGUCACUCUUAAAGAGUUUAAUAACUUUGAAGACGUUCUGCAAGUUUAUGAACAGGAGCUUCUGGUUUUCUAAGUAUCCAAUGUAAAAUUAAAUAUCAAAUUAGAAGCUCUUCACUUAUAUAAGAACUUUAGAAAGUUCCUCAUACAUCAACCAUAAUCCAAUAAGGCCAAAACUAAGUGAGAACCCAUUACUUGCACUGUGUAGCACUUAUGGCAGCUCGUCCAGCAGAAGAUGUUAGAAAUUUCUACAGGUCAUGCCAUGCUUCUUUGGGAUAUGCUUCAUAUUACCACCGAUGGGAUUCACGCACCUCUAUAGGUUCUCAUUUUUUCCAACAUAUAAUUGCAAAGCACCUAAAUUCCACAUAACUACAACCACCUAAAGCAAACUCCUUUAGCCACAAUUUUGAGAACCUAACAAAGAUAAAGAUAUGCUUAGCUCUUCACCUAUAUAUGAACUUUAGAAGGUUUCCCAAACAUCAACCAUAAAUCCAACAGGACCCAUUUUAUCAGAUAAAUCAAAAACAAAUUUAAAAAAAUCACCUGAUUAAUUGGUUGCAACAUAUUCACAUACGCCAGCAGUUCUUGCUUCUCUCUGGUUUAUCAGAUCAAUCAAACAGAACCCAUAUAAAUGAAAAUCAAUCUAAUAAAAAAAUCACCUGGUUAAUUAUGCUUACAACAAAAUGCCAACGCCAAAAUGAUGAAAUUAGGAAAAGCCGAUAGAGAAAAAGGAGGAAGACCGACGAUUUUGGUGGAUUAAUUGUUUAGAUUGACUAAUGGUGAUUAAUGCUUGGUAAUGAAAAAAUGAUAAUUAAUGGAUUUUAUUAAUUAAAAAAUAGAUGGUAAUAAAUAGAAAUUGAAUAAAAAAACUCAAAAAAAUCAGGAAAAAGAUAAAUAGACUUCCUGAUCAUUAGGACAUGCUACAUCGGCCUCCAAUGAUCCUUUUAUAUAUAGAGAGAGAGAUUUUUAUAUUUAAAAAUAUUAAAAGUAUAAGAGAAAAUCUGAACAAAUUUCAAAAAGGAAAAAAAUCGUAUUUUUCUUCUUCUUCAACCUCGUCAACCUCUUCAUUCCCCGACCUCCUCUUCUUCAGCCCCCCCCUCGACCGCCACUCUCUUCUUCUUUUCAGCUCCUUCUCAGGCACCCCCACCCAUCCUUAACCCCAACCAAUAUCUUCUUCUCAGAUCCCCCCUCCCCCGAGACCCUUCAAUUCAAGAUCUACUCAUCUAUGUGUUUAUAUUACUAGUUUAGGGUACGUGUGUUGCACGUGUAUCAAGCAUUAAUUAAGAAUAUAUAUAUAUAUAUAUAUAUAUAUAUAUGCUCCAUUCCAUUUUAUGUGUUGCUUUUUGACCGGAUAAGGAGUUUAAAAAAUUAGUGAUGACUUUGUAAAGUUUACAAAAUUGCUCCGAUCUUAAAUUUUAUCUUUUAGUUGUCUUUUCUUAUUAAGUGGGACCCAGUACGGAUAAAAUAAAGAUGUUGCCAUUAAAUAGUAACUAAAUAAGGAAAUGUGACAUUCUUUUUGGGACAGACUAAAAAGAAAAUGACGACACAUAAAAUGAGAUGGAGGAAGUAUAUGUUAUUCGAUUAAGUACAAUUUUUAAAAAAUAUUGAAGAUAAAAAAGUGCACUUAAUUAAAAAGAAACAUGAUAAAUCACUGUCACACUAAUAAUUAAGGAGCAAAAUUAGAUGUGGCAAAAAAUAUAAUCCCCGCUUAAAUUUAUAUUUAGUCUUUUUCUAUAGAAGUUGAGAUGAUACAAAUUAAUGACAAUCAAAGUUUAGACACUAUUAGAUAAUACUAGAAUAAAGUCACGUGCGUUGCACGUGUAUUAAAUACUUUAAAGAUAGACGUAUAUAAAAAAAAUAUAAUAGAUGUGCGUCAAUUAUUUUAUUAAGUACAGAAAAUUUUAAAAAAAGAAUGUACAAUUUUCUUGUAUGUCUGCUAUUUUAUUGAGUAUAAAAAAAAGAAGACAACGUCAAAUUUUAAGAUUAAAAAAUACCCUUAUAGUUGAUUAAAGAUAAAUUUAGUCAUGUAUAUACUUAGUAAAAAUAAAUUAAAAAUUCUAUAGUUAAGUUAAUGAGAUGAUUGAUAAUAAUAGAAAAUAUAUCAUUUAAUUUAAAAAUUUGAACAUAUUUAAAAUACUUUAUAUAAAUUAAUACUAAGUAGAGAAUCUAUACAAAAAAAUUUCUUAACUUUUUCAAUGUAAUAUCGAUUCUCCUCAUAAUUAAUGCUUCUUGAUUACUACUAAUUAGCAUAAAUUAUUAGUAACUUUUCUUUUUUAACUAAAAAAUAUGAGUGCAUAAUGAAAGGGCCAGGUCCAAAAGUGACCUGACCCAAAGAAAAUUAAACAAAUUUCCAUCAGACAACAUGAGAAAUUGAAAGCCAAUUUUGAAAACUGGAGAAGCCAAGAAGCUUCUUGACCAACAAUUCCUCAGCUUCCAAACUUUCCAGUCUUCAAGUUCUUGACCAAGCUAAACUUUUGGCUGUAAUGUCUUUUCCUCUGAACUAAGUUUUUAAUACAAUGGCAAGAAUUUUCUAGUGGGAUUUGCAAAUAAUAUCCCCUGAAAUAAUCUGACUAUCAUUGGGGGGGGAGGGUGUAGGGCAUAUAUAAAGGGAAAAACAUAAAUGCCUCAAACUGACAGGAGUUUUGAGAUAUUGGUUAGUGAACUUUGUUUAUCUCCGUCGCAAUAAUUGAUACUUCAUAUCUGAUAGAUCUUUCCUUCUGCAGUGGGAUACGACCCAGUUUACUAAUGAGAAUAUAGAGCUUAAGCUCCGUCUGCAAAAUAUGGCACAACAAGCUCAGUUACGUGAUGGUAUGAUUAUCUUUUUCAUCUUUUCCAUUGCCUUUUAGAAUUUUAUGUUUCAAUGCUAUACUAAAAGGAGAAAUUGACUUUCAAAGUGAUCCAUGGCCAUCAAUAUCAAAUAGUUCCAAGGACCUUAUUUGGAAAAUGCUAACACAAGAGCCAAAGAAGAGAAUUACUUCACCGCAAGUUCUUGGUAUUUCUCUUGUUUCCCUUUGUAAUCAAAAGUUAUAGUAGCAGGCCAUGUCAUCUCGUUCUGCAUAUACAUAUUUGAUUAUAUGUUAUAAGUUGUAUUCAUGUUUAGCUUUUGUAUGUAUUUAGCAUAACUUCCAAGUAUAUGCUACAUGCUCUUUCAAGGUAGGAAACUACCAAGAUGAGUUGUUUUGUGAUGUGAUACCUAUGCAAGCGUAUCACUUAUUAUUGGGGAGAUCAUCGCAAUAUGGUAGGGCUACCGUGCAUGAUGGAAGAACCAAUAGGUACAUGUUUGUCUAAACAGACCUUAAUGAAAUCACUGUCUUGAUUACAGCAGAUCCAAAUACAUGAUCUUUUUCCAUAAUGUAUAGCUUGUUUCUCAGUAUUGGGUUGGAUAGAUUAUGGAUCCUUACUUCAAUAACAUACAAUGUGUUUUGGUGAUGGCAAUUGUCGAGGAGAAUGACCUGAUUAAUGAAUGUCUGACAUUGAAUUAGGAAGAUCGAUGAGUAAAAUGGAUGAGAGUUAUGGGUUUGGAAGAUUCUUACCAAAGUGAAAGACAAGUUUUAUAGAAUAAUGGUGUGACCAGUCAUGUUAUAUGAGAGUGAAUGUUAUGUCUCUAAUAUGUAAUGUGUCCACAACAUGAAUGUUACAGAAAUGUGGAUGUUAAAAUAGAUAUGCGGUCAUACAAUUCUGGACAUAAAAUAGACAACUAUAUAACCGUAGUUGCUUCAGCAACUACGAUAAUUGCUGCAAUAAUUACUAUUAGUUGUUAUAUUACAGCAACUGCCGAAGUUGCUGCAGGGAUCUUUAUGUAAAUAUGGGGUAGAAUUUUUUGUAAAAAUAAUAAAAGUUGAGUGUUUUAAAAUUAGUAUAUUAGCACUAAUCUUAAAAUUGUCACCAUUAAUUAAUUUGCCUGGAUGAAAUAGUUGUAGUAGUUCAAUUUGAAUUGAAUUACUGGAUAAGCGAUGAAAUCAUCUUUGAAAUUAAAAAUGGGAAGAGGGUUGGGUUCGCAAAAUCUGCCAGCGGACGUGACACAAGUGAUCGAUCAGUUAGAGCGACAUUACUUAGCCCCUGAUGGAUCUCUCAUCUCCAAAUCCGCUUACUACGAUCUCCAACAAGUAAGUGUUUAAGAUAAAAUCGCGGGAUACUUAUCCGAGAUUGUAUUUAAUGUUAUUUUUUUCCCACACUGAGGAUGGGAUAGAAAUCCUAGGAUAACUAAACUGAUUCCGUGAUAAUUACACGUGGCAGCUUGUAAUUGGUCAAAAAAAUCAAAUUUCAGCCCUUUCACGCACCUGUGGCGCGUGUGUACACGUAUAGGGUCAAAAUGGUGUGUUUGCAAUGAAAUAAAGAAGAACCGUAGGAUAUUAGGUCAAAGUAAGUUUAGGUGUCUUUUUGCAAAUCUCGGACAAGAUCAGCGGUGUAAUUUUGUAUUUUCUCUAUUUAUUAGUUUAAUUAAUAAAUAUAAAAAUUAGAUAUCCUAUAAUUUUUUUAUCUAUUAAAAUACUUGUAUUUUAUAACUUUUAUUAACAAAACUGUACGUUAAUAUAACAUUAUUUGUACAAAUUUUGACAAUACUUAUUCAAUGAUACAAUUAAAAAGAUUUUAUUUUAAAACUAUCUUUAGAAUGUUGAUUUAUCUUCAAAGAAUUAAAAUAUUUUUUUUUUAAGAAAAUAAUAUCAUACAUGUAUGUGUUUUGAAGAAUUUAUCUUAUUUAUCACUCUUUUUUUAUGUAUCUUUUUGGAAGAUAAAUGCAAUAUUAUGAAAUAUUUUAUGAAAAUAUCAACUAAAUUUUUUUAUGUAAAGAGUCUUCAUUUGAUAAUCUAAUCUAUUAAUAAAUUGAUAUUUUUCCAUUAAAUAAUCUAUAAAGAAAAUUGGGUUGUGCACAUAUAAAAAAGGUUAAGAUAUGAGUAAUAUAUUAUGUAUUCAUUUAAAUUAAAAUUAAGAACUAAUUAAUGUUGUCACAUCAUUUUUUCGAUGAAAUUAUUGUAAAAUUCGAUCAUAAUGACUUUGUGAUGGUCGGAGUAUAGUUAAAUGACUAUGGAUGAAAUGAAGGAAAGAAAAGUAACUUUUGCGUAAUAGAAAUAAAGUUAAGUGACCAUGAAUGAAAUUUAUCCCAAAUAAAUACUACUCCCUCCAUUUCAAAAAAAUAACUUACUUUGAUUUGAUAUAAAAUUUAAGAAAAUAAAGAGGAUUUUUGAAUUUUAUGAUGUUAAAUUAAAAUUGUGUCAAAUAUAUCAAAAUAUCCUUUAAUCUUGUGGUUCUAAAUAUUAAAGUAUUGCAAAAAAAAUCAUUCUUUUUCAAAUAAUUAAAAAGAAAAAUAUAUCAUUCUUUUUCAAAACGGAGGGAGUAAAUGUAAAUGUGAGUCAAACACACACACUUUAUCCACUUUAAUAAAUAGUAGUUGAUUAAAUUAAAUUUAGUGUAAUAAUGAUAGUGAUUUAGCUUAAAGAAGACUUAUGAGCCUCUCCUGCAACGUUGGGGAUCUGGGACAAAGAGACAAGAGAGUAUUUAACGAUGUCCGCCCGCCUUAUUAGCUCCCAUAUUAGUCUUCCAGAUCCAUCUCUGCCCCCCUCUCAUCUCCUAUCUUAACAUUACAGAUACCUCUUUCCCUUUCACCCCCAUUUCCUAUUUCAUUCAUCUUCAUUUCUAAUCAUUCAUUUUUUAUUCUGCUUCUGCCCUUCCUCCCACCCCUGCAUGCACUUAGGGAGGGCACCGACCUGUUUUUAUUUUCUUUUCAUUUGUUGUUGAUUCAAUUUAUCCUGAUAUUUUUUCGUAGAUCCAUAAUUAUAAAAUUUGAGCGUUUUCAUGCAUGUUUAAGUAAUUGUCGGUGUUGUUAGUUCUGAUUUGUGAUCUUCCUCGUACCGUGCGCAAGUGGAAGUGGAAGCUUUAGUGCAUCGGGCUGCGUUUUUCUUCUUUUCAUUUGUUGUUGAUUCAGUUUCUCCUGAAGUUUUUUUCGUAGAUUGAUAAUUGUAAAUUUUGAGUUUUUUUUUUUAAAUUGUCGGUGUUGUUAGUUUUAAUCUGUAAGUUUCUGUAUUUUUGCGGAAAUGAGUUGUUGAUUGUUGAGAUUUUUGUAGAUCUAAUGUUUGAUUUGAUAAUUUAUUGGUGGAUUUGGGAUAUGAAUUGAUCUAUGGCUAAUGUUAGUUGAAUUUUAGCGGAGAAAAAGAGGUGGACUCUAAAUCUGACUGUUUUUGUUUUAGAUCCGUGUAAGAUCAUGAUUUUGUUGAUGUAAUUGCUUAUAUAAUUUCGUUGUUUUCUGUGUCUAAUUAAUGAUUCUUACCAUUUUUCCUAAUUAUGUGUUCAUCGGUGCAUAUUUGAUUGAAUUCUGGCGUUAUAUAUAAACAAUAUCGUAUGAUCGAAUUCUGGCGUUAUAUACAAACAAUACCAUAGGUGAAUAUGGCUUAUCAGGUUAUAGUAGCAAUAAAAGUAGAAGGAACCGUGGGGCAUAGGCAACAUGCGCUAAAUCUUAUAUCUUUCUUGGGAAUCCUUUCUUUGACUAAAACUUUAUCCUGUUCCUGUGUCAGAAUACAUGAAAGUCUGCUCCUUUUUUAUGUAUUACAUUUAGGAAUGGAGGUCUGGUGGUUGUUAUUUUGCUCAUAAUUUUGUAUAUGCUAUCAGUUUUUUUGUGGAUAUUACUGCCGGACAAGUGUUUGCUGAACAGGUUCAGAGAACUACAAUAUAUAAACACAAUUAAUGAAUCUACCUAAGUGCUUUAAUACCAAGCUUGUCUGCAUGAAUCCUCUACAUUCUUUCUGCACUACUCAGAUCCAUUUUAUCCUCUAAAAUGCAUUCAAACUUUUGUCAAUUUUGUGCAUAUUUCUCUACGUGUUAUGGAUUUGCGUUUAUGUUGUGAUUAGUACUGGAAGUCAUGAACUUUUUUAUCUCUUGCAGAUUGGAACGAAGGAAAAUGGUUAAUAUUUGUUGUAUAGGAGCUGGAUAUGUUGGGGGGCCCACCAUGGCCGUCAUAGCACUCAAAUGCCCUUCUAUUGAAGUGAUUGUUUUUGAUAUUUUUGUGCCUCGUAUCACAGCCUGGAAUAGCGACCAGCUUCCUAUCUAUGAGCCAGGCCUUGAGGAUAAAGUCAAGGAGUAUCGAGGCAGGAACCUCUUCUUCAGCACAGAUGUGUAGAAACAUGUGAGGGAGGCUGAUAUCAUUUUUGUUUCUGUGAACACUCCUACCAAGACAAGGGGUCUUGGAGCAGGCAAGGCUGCAGAUCUAACUUAUUGGGAGAGUGCUGCCCGCAUGAUAGCGGAUGUCUCAAAAUCUGAUAAAAUUGUUGUUGAGAAAUCAACUGUUCCUGUCAAAACCGCUGAGGCAAUUGAAAAGAUUUUGACACACAACAGCAAGGGCGUUAACUUCCAGAUCCUCUCAAACCCCGAGUUUCUUACAGAAGGUACUGCAAUCGAAGACCUGUUUAAGCCUGACAGGGUCCUAAUAGGAGGUCGGGAAACUCCAGGUGGCCAGAAGGCUAUCCAAGCAUUGAAGGAUGUUUAUGCCCAAUGGAUCCCUGAAGAGCGCAUCCUUACCACCAAUUUGUGGUCUGCUGACCUCUCAAAAUUGGCCGCCAAUGCAUUUUUGGCCCAAAGAAUCUCUUCCGGGAAUGCCAUGUCGGCUCUUUGUGAGGCUACUGGAGCAAAUGUUUCUCAGGUGUCAUAUACUGUUGGAAAGGACUCAAGGAUUGGUCCCAAGUUCCUUAAUGCUAGUGUUGGUUUUGGUGGUUCUUGCUUCCAGAAGGAUAUUCUGAAUCUGGUUUGCAUUUGUGAGUGCAAUGGUCUUCCAGAGGUGGCUGAAUACUGGAAACAGGUUAUCAAGAUCAAUGACUAUCAGAAGACUCAUUUUGUCAACCGUGUUGUUGCCUCCAUGUUCAACACGGUGUCAGGUAAGAAAGUCGGCAUUCUAGGUUUUGCUUUCAAGAAGGAUACUGGUGAUACUCGGGAGACCCCUGCAAUUGAUGUUUGCAAGGGACUGCUGGGGGACAAGGCUAAUUUGAGCAUAUACGACCCUCAGGUAAAUGAGGACCAAAUUCAGAGAGACCUCUCAAUGAACAAGUUUGAUUGGGAUCAUCCUCUUCACCUUCAGCCAAUGAGUCCAACAACCAUGAAGCAAGUUAGCAUUGUUUGGGAUACCUAUACGGCAACAAAGGAUGCCCAUGCUGUCUGCAUACUUACAGAGUGGGAUAAAUUUAAGACUCUUGAUUAUAAGAAGAUAUAUGGCAACAUGCAGUCGGUUACAUGCUAAAUGUGAUAAGUUAGCCGAUGCAGUUGCUAUUGAUGACAUUGGUAUGUUUAAUUGCUAAUUUCUCCUCCUUUAUCUUUCCUUGGUCCUUUGCCUUUAAAUAUGUUGGUCUCCAAAUUUUAAUCUGUUUCGUCUUAAACAAAACUAGUAUUGAACAUAAGACCUGGCCAUCUAGCCAGUUUUAUAAUUAGCUUCUAUAAGCAUAUCAUUAUGUGAAUGUAAACAGGAAAUAUAUUUCAACUAAUUAAAAAUGUAAAUAGAAACAAACAAUUAAAACUGUAAAAGUUACAUAUCAUUUUUUUCUCCACAACAAUUACACUUUUGGCACCCGCAGCAUGUAGGGAGCCAUUUUUGGAUGAUAUUUGGGCUUUCUUUCCUUUGUCCCUCAGCAAUUGGUAUUAUUGGUAUUAUUCGUUAUUCCAAUAGCGAAUAUACUGUUGCCAUAAGGAUUCACUAAUCCUUUUAGGUCGUACCAAGUUGGUUCGGACAUAAUCCAACAGAACGUUAUUGUGCAUCUCCAGAACCUGCGAAUAUGAAUAUUUGAGGUGAGUUAGUAAUAAUAUAGUGAGAGGUGUAAAACCUAUUUUGUAUUAGGUAAUUUGAUGUGUUGUAUCUUACCUAAUAUUUCUUUGUAGACGAUGUUUUUGGUGUAUGUUCCUUUUUUUCUCUUUGGCUGCUCUGUCAUGACCAAAACCUUUGUUGUUUAAAUUGAUAUUCCUCUUGAGAUUGCAACGUAUAGCUGUCUAUGUGAAAAAACAUGUUGUGGCAAGUACAAUCCCACAGUUGGUAUAGUUGGUAUUGUUUGUCCCUGUGCUUUGUUAAUUGUCAUUGAAAAGCAUAAUCUUACUGGAAAUUGUUUUCUAAUGAACUUGAAUGGGUAACCUUCAUUUUCGGGAGGCGAAAGCUGAAUUCGUGGGAUAAGCACAUGCUUGAAAGCAUUUUGCCCAAUCAUUAUUUCUGCAUGUAUGACGUUUUUGUCAAAACCUCUACAUAUCAUUAUUGUGUCACUACAUAAGCCAUUGGAAGCAUCCAAAUUUCUUAAUAACAUGAUAGGCGUAUUUUUUUUCAAAACCAAUCUGCAAAUCAAUAAAAUGUUAUGAGAAUGAUAAUGUUGAGAAUUAUUUUUAACAAUAAGUUUCAACCAAAUAUUGCAAAAUAAGGUGCAGGCAGACUCUAGCUCAUAUUCAAUAUCAGGUUUGUGCUAGAAGAAUCAGGAUGUCAGAGGAGAAUCAGGUGCUCCAGAGGCAACUCAGAUAGAAGCAUGAGUUCACUUUCUUGUACGCUCAACUAAAGGUUAGCAUUAUAUAUUAUCAGUUUAUUUAGUAGUUGUUCCAUGCUUUUACCUUCUUAAAAUUUGGAUUCCUAGUUCUAUUUUGCACAUCAAUUGUAUGUGUUUGAUCUGGUACUUUUUUGUUUCAUGAAUAAUUAGAUUGUGCACUUUAGGAAGUCAUAUGUGGUAUUUGGUUAUCAACUUUAGGAAGUCAUAUGUGGUAUUUGGUUAUCACUUUGAUGUAAAUGUUUCAUAUGCUACAUAAUCAAUAUUUCUGUGCUUUUCUGUAUAUGAGGAAGAAAGUAGCUGGGUAUGAGUAGAUAUGUAAACAAAGAGCAAUGUAAUAAUUAUUGGGGAAGGAGACAUGCCCAUAUACUUAAGGGAGGCUAGAGAAAAAGUGAACCUAUUUUCACAUUUUGUUAGAAUGCCUAAAUUUGUGUUGUUGCCUGGAAUGCUACUGAAUUAUCCAAAAUAGGUAAUAUGAUUCUAGUAAGAGAUGUUUUUUAGUUGGAAAGUAAAUUUUUGCUUUCUUAAUGGAAUUUAUGUAGCUUUAGGAAUAUACUGCCACUUUGAUAUAAGUUUGAAUAAUAUAUGUAAGAACAUACCUGUGUGGAGGGAGACCGUUUGGUGUGAGAGUAUUUAAGUAAUCUUCCUGAUAAUAAUUGUUAGUAUCAUCUUCUGCAGAGUUGAAACUCAGAAACGUUCUACUUUCACCUAGAAAUCUGAAAUGAAUUUCGUUUAGUUGAUCAACGUAUUCAUUUCUGCUUGCUAGAAUAGCCCGUUCUGUCAUGUAUUUUGCACAACUUGCAUUUUUAUCCAUAGAUGGAAAAUAUAUGUUCUACCAAUGUAUCUUCUCACCAGUACUACUGCUCGUAUUUUGAAUAACCAUUUCUUUUGGAAGAAAUUCCAAAUCAUCUCUUAUUGUAGGCUCUUCUCCAUUACCUAUACGCAGUAAGAGUAAGAAUUCACUGAAAGAUGGAUCUGCUCUUGCUCUCAUAUUUCUUGUUAACUUAAUCCUUUCCAUAUGAUUCCAUAAGUAUGAUUUUACCAAACUUGCAUUUACCGUUUCAGCCUUUGUAGAUUUUGGAAUUACUGGAAGUACUUGACGAAAAUCUCCUCCGAAAACCAUUACUUUUCCACCAAACGGUUUAUUAAUGUCCAGUAUAUCUCUGAAGCUCCUAUCAACUGUUUCAAUUAUCCGACGGCUGGCCAUAGGCGCUUCGUCCCAAAUAAUCAGGGCUUUAUGAAUCAAUUUAGCUCCACCGCUUUGCUUUGACAUACGUGUGACAGUCGCAUCAGUUGUCUGAAGCGGUAUCUCAAAUCUAGAAUGAGCUGUAUGACCUCCUGAUAAAAGAGUCGCUGCUACACCACUUGUUGUCGUUGCUAAUGCUAUCAUGCCUCUUGAUCUAAUAUUUGCAAGUAGUGCACGAUAUAAGAAAGUUUUUCCGGUCCCUCCAGGUCCAUCGACAAAGAAUAAUCCUGAUUGUCCAGACUCUAUCCUUUCCAAUAUGAUCUUGAAUGCUUGUUCUUGUUCAGGAUUUAUCUUUGUUUGUGCAUCCUAGUCUUUUGGAGACACUAUUAUAGAUUUUUCUUCACGUAUUUCUCUGCAUUCCAAUAUAAUUCCAUCAUCCAACCUCUGCUCAAGUUUAGGAAUGUAAUAGUUUUCAAUUCUCUUACCCAUGCUCUCUAAGAAAUGAUUUAUGCUUUUCAAUGUGCAUUGAAGUUGAGCAGUAGGCGAAUUUUCAUGUAUUCUUUUAAAAUCUUCCGACAUAUCAUCAUAAUAUGUAUCCCAGAGUAUUCUAACAUCCGUCGGAUUACAAUGAACCAAAAUUGUUGCAAAUAAAUUUCUCAAAGCUGAUGGCAUUUUAAAGACUACGGCCUCACGUAAGCAUUCAGAAAUACUGUUAUCUGAUUCCAGUAAACCUCUUUCUUUUGCAGCUUCCUUGAAUGUUUCGCACCUCCUUCCAUUAACAGAUAGCAAGUUUUCAAAUGAUGUCGGUCCUAGUACGUGAUUCAAUAACAAUCUCAAAUAGUAUAUUUCACCUUUUGUUGGGUUAGCUGUGACAUUAAAAUAGAAAGACUUAAGUAAAUUGAAUUUAAGCAUAAAAAAUAUUAAAAGUAAUAGAAAGACUUAAGUAAAUUGAAUUUAAGCAUAAAAAAUAUUAAAAGUAAUAGAAAGACUUAAGUAAAUUGAAUUUAAGCAUAAAAAAUAUUAAAAGUAAUAGAAAGACUUAAGUAAAUUGAAUUUAAGCAUAAAAAAUAUUAAAAGUGAUUCUAUUGGAUGCCUUACCAACAGCAAUUCGACCAAUAACAAAUCUUGAUUUUCUUGGUGUCCAUAUCUUACCCAGUAUAGAUAUUUUCGCGCUUCGCUAUCAACCGAACAUCUUCGAAAAUAUUUUGUGAGCAUGGUUUGUGAGGCGUAUUCCCAUGCAACAAUAUAUUUUUCAAAUUUUGAUUGCUCCAAUAGCACACUACAAUAUGAAAAACUAUAUUAGGAAUAAUAAUAAUUGACAAACAAAUAUAUGUAAAUAUGCAUAUACUUAAUGGUUAUUUUUGCAUGUAGGGAAUGAUUUUAAUGAGUUAUACUCACUAUCUGACAACUAUUUGUUCAUUGUUUUUCUUAGCUUUUGAAAUUUUCAUUUAAUAUAUAUAUAUAUAUAUAUAUGUAUAUAUAUAUAUAUUGAACAUGGCUAAUCUGUAUGUUAGAUAAGUUAAUGACAUGACUGGCCGAUGUUUGCUCGAAUAUAUAUAUAUAUCACGAGUAAUGUUGAUGUGAUUUUUCAGAAAAAUAGUACCAUUUAUAAUCAAGCAAACAACAUGUACUAAUUAGAGAUCAUAAUGGUACAAUUACAUAAUUUUGAAAUAGAUUUAUUAGUCAAAAAUGAAUAGUCGAUAAUUUUGUUGCAACUUGCCUAUAAAAUAACAUGUCAAUUCCAAACAAAUUGGUAGAGAGAAUAUUAGGUAAAAUUCAUACUAACUUAACUAUCAUUUUGUUUUCUUUCACAAAAAUCAUGUACUAAUUUUUCUAACACAAAAAUAAAAUAACUUUGAUUAAACUAACACAAAAUUCACAUUGUCAGAAUAUAGUAGUUAUGAACCAACUCUUUUAUCUUUUUUCUUUUUAAAUUUAAUAAAUAAAGUUUAAAAAAUAUCAUCCAACCUAGGUCGAUUAGAAACCCAUUUGAAAUGUCAAUUAAAUUAUUUACAUUUCAAACAAUUGCAAUUCUCAAUCCAAAUUAAUAUAUUCAUCAUAAGUUAAAUUGGUAUAAUUGUUGGAUAUAUAUAGCUUACCUAUUUGUUUAUUGGGAGAUGAAGUUGAAGGUUAAUGAUGGGAGGCUGCAUUUCACUGAGAUUGAAUUCAUAAAUUCUUCAUAGUGCUUCUAGUGCAGUCACCCAUCGUGCAUCUUGAAAGCUGCUAAUUUCAUCGAUAACUUUUUCUCCAUCAUCCGAUUCGAUAUAAACAGCACACCUAUCAUGACCUUUAUAUAUGUACUUGUAGAGAUACUUUAUUGCUUUUACUCCCGAACAAAACUCUACGUUGAUGUGACAAUUACAUCUGGUAAGCAAAUAAGGAUUAUAUGAAACAACCCACUGAUUGUUCAUUGUCAUGCCUCGGACCUUUUCCCUUUUCCCAUCAUUUCGCCUCUUAUAAAUAGGAUAUCCAUCCUUUCCUUGUAGCGAUUUAUUACUAAAUGGCCGAGGAUAGUGAUUCUUGCAUUGUCCAUCUUUCAUACAUAAAUUUGCUGGACGACUCUUUCCACAAGGACCAUGCAUCAUAUGCUUGACAACCAAAUCAUGCAAGAUUGGAAAUUCUUCUUUAUUCGGAAGUUCAGCGGCAAUAAACUUGUCAUAAUCGUCCGUCGAUGUUAUCUUGUUUCCUUGUUCAAGUAUCAAUAAAAGGUGUAUGUGUGGUAGUCCUCUUUUUUGAAAUUCAACCACAAAAACAUGUGCUGCAACAGGACCAAAUAUCUUUUUCUUGAAUAUCUGAUCUUUUAAAUCUUGUAGCUUUGCUCUAAAGACUCUAGUCACCAAAUCAGGUCUGUCUUGAGGAAGUUGUCCUUCUAACAAAUUUUCUUUUAUCUCCACCCAAUCGGGAUUAUAUGUCAUUGUGAUAAAUAGAUCUGGCUUUUCAAAAUGUUGAACCAAAGACAUUGCAUCCAUAUAUCUACGACACAUGUCCCUAGGACCUCCGACAAAUGAUGCUGGAAGUAUUACUCUUUGGCCUACUUUAGCUCCUUUAAUUUCUCCUGCCAGAAUACUGUCAAAUAUGCCCUGUAAAAUUUUCCUUCUAAGAUUUGAUUGCUCCAAUCUAAAAUAUUCAAGUCGUGUUUCCAUCUUGAUGUACGUGUCAACAACAAAUUGUUGGGACAAUCGUCUGCACAAUAACAUUAUCGUGUCUUCUCCGUGACGUAUUUGCAGCUUAUAGCAGUAGUACUCUCUAUAUGAGACACAAUGUUUACCUCCUCGUCGUACACCUGGAAAAUUUUUUAAAAACAUUGAUAUGAAAAUUUUAAUUACCAAAAUAUAAGAUUCUGUGUAAAUUUAUUUCAAAACUAUACCUUGUUGUUCAUUGUCAAGCACCUCAUCAGCGAAUGCAAAUGUAGAAAUAUUUUGAUUGAGGCUUGCAACUCCGAUCCCAUGUGAACCUUUUUUUGUUUUAUGUUGUUUUUGUAUUCCUUGGUGCCAACCUGAUUCACCAUUUAGGAAAAGUAGAGAAUACUGGAGUGGGUCAUAACAGCCAUAAUAAUGUUUAACUCUAUGUAUAUUGCCUGAGUGCUCAUGAACAAUAAUUUCUCUAUCAAAUGGUACAUUGGGAUUGUUGCCAUCUAUCCAAAUAGCAGCAACUUGAUCUACUGAUGGUUUGUUGUAGACACGUUGAUCUAGUUUGGCAUUUGAAGCAAUUCGAAUUUCUAAAUUCUGAAAGCUUGAAUGAUCUUUUAGCUGGCAAAAAAAUUGUGCAUAAGGAUUAACAUCCAUUAUCUGUCUUAUUAUUGCCACAACUUCUUCGGAUAAAUUGGCUUCUUUGAGUUUUGAUCCUAUUGCAUACCUCAUUUUUCGUGUCAAAAAAGUACAACUGAAAAUAACGUGGAGUAUCAUCAUGUGGAAUUAAAGAGGGUAGAUCAUGAUAUAUUUGACCUUGUUCUCAAAAGGUAUAAACUCCUUGUCUUGAAGAUGUCAGAUCAUUAUCGAGUUGAACACCAAAAGAUGUAAAUGAAAAAAUGUUGUUAUAUCCUCUAAUGUGUUUACGAAAUUCUUGUGCUCCUUUCGAUCGUGAGAAAAAUAAAUCGUAGAGUUGAGUUGGAACUACAACAUUUGCAAGCUUGAUUGAUCCACCGUCGCAAUAGAAAGUCGGUAUUUCAUGUUCAAACCUCAUAGCCUGAUAAUGUGUGCAUGGAGGAACAUUUUUCAACUUGUGAACAGACAAAAUUAAUGGUAUGUAGUCAAUUUCACCUAAAUUUAUGGAGACAAAUUUCAAAAAAAAAAAAUUAAUAAUAAAUAGCACAAAUAGAACGGAUAUAUCUGUAAUUAAUAAAUUAGUAUUGCAUUACCUUCAAUAUCAUAUCGUUCGGAAAGAGCUUUCAAGAAUCAAUUUAUUCUGCAAUUUUUUAGAGGUCUUUGUUCUUCAAUAUCAAGAUAUUUUGCGGAUUGACCCCUUUUGUUGGCUGCAAAGAGAAGCAAACACUACAUGUGUUAAUGCUACACUUAAAAGUGUGGGAAAAGUCGAAGAUACACUUAAGAGAUCAACAAUUUCACACAAAACCUCUGCAGACUUGUUGAUAAUUUUCGAGAAAAUAUUGGGCUCAUAGUUAUAUAUUUUGGUAUAACAACUGAGUAGCAUGGGAUAGAAAUUGAAAUGUCACAACAUUUCCUCAAUUUGAAUGAUAUAGGUGGAAAAAGAGACCCCUAACUUCCAUACACAUUGUUUCAACAACAUCCAACAUUAAGUACGAUUAUGUAUACUUUUCCAUAUAUAUAUAAAAACUAAACACUUGUUUCACAUUUUGAACUGUUAACUUUUGCACUUUAGUACGCUUAUGUAUUGAUUAUGUGGGAUUUCUGUUCUGCUUAUUUUCUUUCUAUCUUUUUGACAAAGCCUCAACGAACUUAUUUUUUGCGAAUUAUCAGGGUUCAAAGCUUGCCAUGACAAUAUUUUACAAGCACGAUUGAUUGGUAAGUUGUAUUCUCUUUUACUGAUUGCACGUUAUGGCUCGUAAAACAUCACUAUUUAAUGUAGACAGUUAUGUGAGUUUUAUGAAUGUGGAGUUCCCUGUGGUAUUCUUUAUGGUUGUGGUGAUCUAAAGAUAGUUUGAACCACUAUAGAAUAUAAGAAAGGAAAACUAACUGGAAUAGAACAAAUCAAUUGUUGUAAGGAAAUAAUGUGGCCAUUUUAUUUGUUGUUUGAGAGGAAAAAGUAAAUAUAAAUUGUGAGCUAGUUAGUACCUGAAUUUAUUAGUUCACUUUCUUGUUCGUGAGCAUUGUUGAUUCCAUCAGUUAAGAUUGUUGUAUUUGCAGCAAUAUAUUUGUUAUACCGUCGAAUGGUUCGGGAAAUUUUUUCUUGAUCUAUAUUGAAAAAUUAACAAAUUUUUUUACUAUAGUUGUAUACAAUAGGCUAAAAUAUAAUGAGUUUAUUAAUUUUAUAUCUACCUUGUGCCAUGUAUGUAAUAAACAAUAUCCUGCAAUAUACAAUAAGUGAUUAAUAACAUAUAUCGUAAUUAAAUAAAAGCAGACAUUAUAUAAUUAGAUCAAAUUGGAAGCACGCAUUUAGCAAAUGUUAAUAACAAAUAUUAGUUGAUAUGCCAACAAAAGUUGCUUAUAUGGUUUAAAAUAUCGAAAUUCUAAAUAAGCGAUAACCAUCUAGAACUUAAAACUAUUUAAGCUUAACCUAAACAAAAAAGUAGCUAGAUUUAGAAUGAAAAACAAGGUGGUCUCUUUUCAUAGAGAAUAAAGCAUCACAAAUCCUUUUCAAGUUUGACCCUUUUAGGAGCUAUUGGGUCUUCAGUGGCAUCCUCGUGGAUUCUAUCCUUUUGGGUCUUCUUGAUUGUAUUUUUUGACUCUGUUUCUUCAUCUAGUACGUCAACUACAAUAGGGUUUUUAACUUUGUGUACUUCUUCACCAAUGAAGCGUCGUGCAGCUUGAUUUCUGGCAUAUUUUGCAUCAAGCCUGACAAGAAAUGUGUAUUCUUUUUUGGCACUUGGCAUAAAGGUACGAUAAAAAUGGGGAUUCUUCAUUCUGUAUCAAAGAAGAGUUUAUGAGUAAGAAAAAUAAAUCUGUAUUUAGGACUGUUUCUAUUAAGAAAGCUUUUUAGAAUUGAAAGAAGCAAGUAAAAAUGAAAAAAAGGACAUAAACAUAGAUGCUAACUGAACUUAAUAUUUAUUAUUAGGACCUUUUUUGAUGUAUAACAUUUGUAUGCCGUUUAGACACCUAGAAUAGGUAAAAAAUUUUGAUGAUUUACGCUCUAGAACAGUAGGAUAAUUGUUAUUAUCUCCUCUUCACUUCUAAUUUUUAUGCUUUUAUUCCCACAAAGCAUAAUGACGAUUAAGAUUUCGAUAUUAGACACAAGAUAUACUUAUAAUGAGGAAAUUUAGCGACCUCUAUUUUAAGAAAGAAAAAAGGAUCAAUGAAUCUUGUUAUUUUUUAAAUAUAGAAAACAGUUGCAAGUAGAGAAUAAAUUACCUUUUCUGAUAUUGAUUGUAUGUACGAUGACACAUCGCAACCAAUCAAGUAUCGUGCAGCUUCAAACAAUGUAACAAUACAUCUAUCAAUUUCUGUACUAUCAGCAGUCUUUGCAAAAACAUCUAGUUUUAGAAGAAACCUAGAAAUAGAAAACAUUAAAUAGGAAAUGAUUAGCCCAUAAUUUGAUUUUAAAAAUUGCUGAAAAUAAAUUUGAAUCUUUUUGUGGGUUACCUUUCCUCAUAACCACUUAUUUUCAUGAGGCAGUAAGGAUACUUUAAAUCGCUACGCUCAAUCUUUUUGUAGCAUUUGGUGCAAGAUGCAUAGUACGGAUCGUCGAGAUUUCGUAUAUUUCGUAUAGUUUUGAUUGUUGCAUUGAAUUUACAAUAUUUAAGCUACAAAUAGAAAUAUAGAAGAGGUUAGGAGUGAGAAUUUUGAAACACAUAAAUUUUAUGAAGUAAUUAAAGAACAGUACCUCAUUAUCGAACAAACGACCCGAUAUAUGCAAUUGUCAAUGUUUUAACUGUGUUAAUUUGUAUACUUGGUAGUAGAGUAAUGUUUGGGUGUUUUUUCUUUUCAAAUAAAGACCUGCAAGGUAUUUAGUUAGUACAGCAUGAUAAGUACAUAUUUAGUGUUCAUUAAUAAGAAUGUGUGAAUAUAUAUUACCAUCUUCAAAUGAAGCGAACUUGUUUGAAAAGGCAACUGUAGAGAAAGGACUUCUGCAUUCUUGAACAAUGGUGCCGUCGAUGAAUUCAAUCUCGAUUUCUUUAUUCGCGGAGAGGAAAUUAGGAUUGGCGGGAGUAAUGUGGUUGUUCAUAAUAUAACAAAACUGGCCUUGUUCUAAUAAUGUUUCCCAUUUUUUUAUUGACUCGUUGAAAAGUAUAGCACCAAGUUUUCUGCCCUAAAAUAUUGUAGAGGUGUUAAUUUUAAUGGCUGAAAAAUGAAUGCGAAAAAAAAAAUUAAAGACGAAGUAAGAAAAGAAAAAUUCUUACCUCUUCAUCAACUAACUUAAGAAGCUUUCGAGUACCGGUUGUUUCUCUAUUAUAUUCUUUUAUUGGGCCACUUCCUAUGAUCAACACUUUUAUUAUGGACAUGCGAUCAGAUGGCUUCAAUGCACUAAUUGGAACCACUUCGGUAAUUGCAUCCGUUGCCAUAGUAGUCUAAAAAAAGAGUUAGAAUAACAUUAAUGCAUGACUUAGAUGAAUAUAAACUGAUGAGUUAAGUAGAUUGUACUUGAAUAUGUGAGUUGUCUUCGUAUAUUUAAUAAAAACAACAAAUGAUACAACUUAAAUCAGUAAGAACAUAAAUUCAACUAAUAACACAAAUUAGAUCGAUUACGAAUAUAAGCUAAAUUGUUGGCAUAGCAAUUAAUAUUGUAUUUAAAUUAUUAAUGGACAAAAAACAAUCGACAAAGAAGCUAAGUGAAUUGACAAAGAGAACUAAAAAAAGAGAACGGAACCUCGAGAUGAGACAAAAUUGAGAAUAAUUGUGGAUGAAAGAAAAAUAUGAUGAGGACAGUAAAAAAGCAAAAUUAACAUGGGUUUUAUAGAAGUUGGUAAAGAAUACCUAUUUUGUAUGGGAUAAGAAUUGUUUUAAUCCUAUUUUGUAUUAAAAAAAAAAAGGGUUGAUGGAGUCCGGGAGAACAAAUAAUAAAGACGAAAAUAUUUUUGUUUUUUAAAUUUGGCAAGAAGCGUAGAAAGAUGGAAAAAUUUGUUAUUAAAACACAACAAUUUAAUAAGUAGUUUGGGACAAAAAGUGGCUAGGAUAUUAAAUUUGUUAAAUAAAUAUUUUUUUUAAUUUUGGCAAGAAAGCGGCGGAAAGAUUGUUAAUUUGUUAAAUAAACAUAUUUUUAAAUUUUGGCAAGAAAGAUUGCUUUCUUUUUUUAAUUUAAAUCUGAGUUUCAAGAUGGAACAAGGGAUUUUAUUUUUUAAAAUAAAAUUAUUUUGAAUAUUUAGAUUUGGGUUUUAUCCUGUCCUCUUUUAGUUAGGACUGAUUUAUUUUUUCGGAAGGAAAGGUAUCCUGAUUUUGUAAGGAAAGUUUUUUUUAAAAAAAUAGUAUUAAAAUAAUAAGAGAAUUGUGAAAAGUCAAUUUGUCUAAAGUGGAGACUUUUAAUGAAGGGCAAAAAGUUCAAACAACAUUUUUAAGGUCUUUCACACUUUUAAUAUAUUAUAGAUAGAUUAUAGAUUUAGUCAUUAUACAUUUUUUUCUAAUUCUAAUAGCACUUUGAUUUAACAGAAAUUUAUUUUUAUUUUAAAGAUUUUAUAUUUUUAUUAAAAUCGAGGGCAUAUUAUGCAUUUAUUAAUAAAAGCAUAUUAGAGUUUGAUUUGCAUUGUACUUUUAAAUUUUUCCUUUGGUUAUAGGAUAAAAUAUUAGAACUCAUUCGUUGUUAGCAAGACACAAAAAGAAACUGUUGCCUCCAUUUUUCAUAUUUAUUUAUUUUUGGUAAAAUUUGACAUUUAUAUAUAUUGAAAUUGAUCAAUUAGAAAAGUGUUAAGAAAGUUACUAAGCUCCUCUAUAUUCUGGUCCGUUUAGUAAGAGGAGUUUUAUAGGUUUUGAUUCUUGCAUAUCAAUUCAGAUAUUAUUUUCAAUGUCUUUCCUGCUUCACUCGACUUCUUCAAUAAUAAAAUUAUUGUCGGAUCAAAUUAGCGAAUAAGGUGAUGCGUGGAUAUUAAGAUAAAAUAAUUACAUUACUAUUCACUUUUAAGAUUUUUAAAAAUCAAUUAUUAAAAUUCAUUAACUUGUUUAUUUGAUUACAUUAGUUGGAUAUUAUUAGAAAACUUUCCUAAAUCUAAUAUUAAAUGUUAUUUCUAUUUUGUAUAUAGAUAUUCAGUUGUAUUUUUAAUUUAUUUGUGUUGACUUUGUACCAAAGCAAAUAUUUAUUUUUGAUUAUUUUCUAUUAAAAGCAAAUCAAAUAUCACAAAUUAACAUAAAAUACAAAAUAUGAACCAAAAUAAACAAAAAAAACAAGAAAAUAAAAGGUACAAAAAUUAAGAUCCCUUUUUGAAAAGUUCAUUAUAAAAUGUCCAAAUACCUCUUUGAUGAAAGUUAAAUAGGUCAUUAUAAAAUGUUCAACUUCUUCACUUAUUCUAUUUUUUAUCGAUGUUUGAGAGAUUCUCUGGGUCUUCUUUGCACUGUUACGUAAGCUUUUUUUCUUUUUUUCUCUUUUAUUUUCCUUUUCUGAUUUGAGCAUGCUUGUGAAACCCGAGCUUGAUGUAGCUGAGAGUGAAAAUGAUCUUGAAUUACCAAAUAUUUGAUGAUCUAUUUGAUUCUUUCAGUAUCUUCUUGUUCCUUUCUGUUGUUGUAUUGUUGAAUUCAUGGCAAAUAUCAUGUCGUUUCUAACUAAAAAUGAUGUAAUGUGUCAUUAUUUGUUGUUGUUUUCUUAUUUUUGUGUCGUUUGUUGUUGUUUUGAUUAUCGUAUAACCUUGCAUGCAUUUUAAAAUUUUCAAUAGUUCUGUCCUUUCAAAUCCAUUUAUGUCUGAUCUAAAAUAUGAAGAAAUAACAAUAAGAACUGAAAUAUGAAGAAAUAACAAUAAGAACAAAGAAAAGAAGGAAACGACAAUAUGAGGAUUGCAAGUUGGACAAAAAAUUUAUUCAUAGAUAUGUUGUUGUUGACCAGUUUAAACACAGUAAGUUUACCUAUUCAUAUAACUUUUUGAUUUCCACUUUUAAAGUGAUUAACUAAUGUAGAUUUUAAUUGAAAUAUAUUUUGUAAGCAUGUAGUUUUGAAGAUGAGAAAGUUAUAAUUAUGAAAUGUUGCACUUUGUUUUAUGGUAUAUAACAAUUUGGUCUGCUGAAUUUGUUGUAUAUAUGUUUCAUGUCCUGUAAACACAUUUCAAUUUUCUAUUUAUUAACUUCAUCAUAUUUUGUAGCAUUCAAUUUGUGCUCAUGUUGGAGCAAGUAUGCAGCAUCGUGGCUUUGCUAAAUGUGAGCAGGUUAAGAAAAUGUUAUAGGAUUUUGAGAGAUAAAAAAUGCUUUCUUAGUUUAAAAAAGAAUGACCUACUUUGACUUGGCACAAAGUUUAAGAAAAUAAAGAAGAUUUUUGAAUCUUGUGGCAUUAAAUUAAAGUAGUGUCAAAUGUACCAUAAUACCCUUUAAUCUUGUGGUCCUAAACAUGUCAUGUGGAAAGUUAAAAUUAAAGUAUUGUCAAAAAAAGGAAAAAGAUCAUUCCUUUUUAAACACACUAAAAAGAAAGGUAGGUCAUUCUUUUUUAAACGGAGGGAGUAAUUCUUUUAGUGAAUAAGGAACACAAUUACAAUACCUGGUAUUUUUCUUCAUUCUUUGAAAUGGCUUUUUAAUGAGCUUGUUUAAAUUUUUGGAUUCAUAUAUAUCGAUUAAGAUUAUCAAUAGCUUUUAUGAGUCAACUGAGACUCUUCCUUAGAGUUUCGGUACUAACCUCUCGAUCUCCGAUUCAUGCUUAUAUGCAACUUUACUUUUUCGUUUGUUAGUUAUAAAUUAGUCAUUUGUUAUUUUCUGCAGAUGAGUGUAGAUCAGUUUGCUUCACAAUCUUUCUCUUCAUUAAGUCUCUUCAUAAAUAUCCAAAAUUCAAGCAUAGAAUUUGAAAGCAGUGUUUAAUUCGUCACAUAGAGAAGUGUACCUUACCACCAUGGUUAACAGUAAGAAUCUUUAUCUAUGCAAUCGAUUAUAUGAAUCAUACAUAUGUAUAUGUCCACACAAAUAUAAUAACUAUUGUGUUUUGAAUUAUGUGGUGCUCAAGCUCCCACAUCCACUACAACUUGUGCAUUGAGGUUUCAAGCAUUCAAAAGGCUUAAUAAGAAAAAAAUUAAAGAAUACAUAAUUAUGCACUAAACAACAAAUUGCAUUCUCAAAUAUAAUCGAUUAUUACUAAAUAUGUAAAAACAUACUUGUGUGGAGGCAGACCGCUUGAUGUUAGACUUGUGUACUAUUUUUUAUUUCUUACUAUUGUUUUAUAUUUUUUUUCUUUAAAAAAAAGGGCACAUAUCAAAUAUUGACACUUUGCUUUUAAUAAAGAUCUAUUUUUAUUCUUAAGAUGGCACAUUGUUACCAUAUUUAGUAUAGGUUGUUUGUGUUGUAUGGACAUUUAACAUAGUGUAUUUAUUUUUGUAAGCAGAUGAAUAAUGAAGCUUUAUUGCUACACUUAUCUAUCAUUUGAGUGUCUGAAGUGUAUGGACUUUUUAACCUUUAUAGUCCGUGAUAAUUUUUUUCUUGCAUGUGUUGAAUAGGUUGCUAGAAUUUGUUUAGAGCGUGGUGUUAAAUUUGAGCAAUACUAUUAUCAAAUUACUUGUUCUACAUGUCAAUUAAAUUUCUCAAUAAAUUUUUCAAUAGGUACAGUAACUUUCUCCUUUCUUUCUUUUUAAUUGCAAUGGAAUUUCUCCAUGUUCCUGUUCUUGCUUGCAAGUUUCAACAGUGGUUGUGUUCUUAUUCCUGUGUAUAUAUUUUUCGAUUAAUUUUGCUCAUACCUUCUUUUAUUUUGUAUUCAUCGGUUUUUCCUUUCUGGACUUCUUCUGGAUGUUGUCGAUGCUUCUCAAUUUAGCAAUUCAAUGACAUUUUCGGGUAAAAUUUAUGAGUAUAACUGAAAGGCGAUAACAAUAAAGUAAUAGAUGAUGGUAGUAAUUGUCAACCGUAUAGUAGUUUGGAGUGUUGCAUAGCUACUAAGAAAAUUGUAUUUGUUUUAAGAUUGUUCUACCUUUAAUGACAAAUUUAAUAUAGCAUUUUCAAAAUCUUGAGUGAUUUGACAUGUUAUUAUAAAGUUAUUGAUGAGUAAAGGGUUAGAUCAGACUUUAUUUCUACAUAAAAGCAGGCUACUUGGGGGUUCUAACUUCCUAUAGAGAAUUUGUAGCACACACUUUGAUCCCUAUAGGGAAUGAGCAAGAAUGAAAUGAGAUGAUAAGGCGCCUCGGCCUCCCCCAUUUUAGAAGAAACUGCAUCCAAGACGAAUGUUCUAUGUGUUCUUUGAGCGGCCUUAUUUCAUAAAUAAAAGAAAAGAGCUAGGAUUUCCUGAUGCUACAUAGGAACAAAUAUAGAAAGUUAUUAUAGACCAAAAAAUUAUUGUUAGUAGAAUCUGAACUAUAUUAUUGCACUUUGUUGAUCAAAAAUAGAUAAUUUGAACCAAAAUAUCAUCUUGAAAAUUGAAACUUUGAAAGCAGAAAGCGCAUUUACAUAAUAAAAAAUAUUAUUAAUUCAUCAUGACAAACUAUUUGAUGCACACACAGAUUUUGAAUCGAUCAAAUUUUAAAUGGACAAUAAAUUCAAAGUGUACCUGUUGAAGAUAGAAAAUAAUGUGAAGAAUAGAGUGUAUUAGCGGAUACAUGGGUUCUCGAUACUCAAUGAUGUGAGCAUGUGAUAUUUUGUGCUUUUGAGUUAUUCCAUCUGGGUAACUAAUAAAUUGAAUCGAAUUGAAAAAGAAAGCACCAAUGUGUGGGUUAAUGUUGUUUAAGAUCUAAUCAAACGUCUUUGAAAAUAGUUAAGUUGUAUUUUUAAGACCAAAUGAGUUUCAUUGAUUAAUUAACAUAAAAAUGGAUAGGCACAAAAUGAUUGGUGAUAAAACAAAUCUUGUACUUAGUUUUCUGAGUUAAUAACUUAAAUGGUCACUCAACUUAUGACUUUUCUCUCAAAAAGUCACUCAACUUUAUUUUUUACUUCAAAAGUCACUCAACUUAGGGCUCUUCUCUUAGAAAGUCACUCAACUUUGAUUUCUACUUCAAAAGUCACUCAACUAUUAGUAUUUUACUUACAAAGUCACUCAACCUAUUUAAUUAAUUUUUUAAAAUUAAAAUUUGCUAACAUCAAAUUUUAUUAAAAACCAAAAUUCUAAAAGAAAUUUUAAAAAAUCAUUUGAAUCAUAUUGUUACAUAUUUUCAUGUUUACUUUAUAUUUAACACUAUGAAAUUUUAAAAUAUCCUUAAAAGUUUAUAUCAAUUCACUUAUAAUAUUAAUAGUAAUUUUUAAGAUUUUCAGAAUUAUAUUCAUUUAGAUAAUUAGAUUUAAUUAACUUUCAAUGUGAUACUUAUUUACGAAAUUGAUUUUCCAAUCAUAAUGCAACUUUUUGUAUCACCACUUGUGUAAUAUACAGAUGUAUCAAAUAAAUACAGUGAAUUCUAGUCCUAAUAAGUUGAUAAAAGGGAACGGUAUAGAUUUUAAACUGAAAUGAUAUAAUAUAAAACAUUAGCAACUGUUAUUAAACAUUAGUAACAUUAUAACAUAUACACUGCAACAAGGUAAAAUUAGCAGUAAAAAUUGUACAAUCAAAUGAUUGUGAUUUUAGGAUAUUAAUUGAUGAUCUAUAUGACUAUAUAUACUUUAGAGUAUAGAGUAAUCAUUGGACAAGAAAACUGCGAAAAAUAGUUGUAAAACUAAAAUUCUAAGAAAUAAAAAAGAUAUACAUUUAAAUUCUUUAAAUGAAUUUUGGAUAUGAGUGGGUCAUUAAAUUGAUUGUUUAAGUGAAAAUCAUUUUUGCUUCUUAAAAAUAUUGUUUUAAAUAUAAAUUACAUGUUUGCAAAUUUUAACGAAAAAAAUCAAUUAAAAUGGAGUAACUUUGUAAGUAAGAAACUCAUACUUGAGUGACUUUUGGAGUAAAAACUUAAGUUGAGUGACUUUCUGAGAAAAGAACUCAUAGUUGAGUGACCUUUAGAAUAAAAAUCAAAGUUGAGUGACUUUCUGAGAGAAAAUUCAAAAGUUGAGUGACCAUUUGAGUUAUUAACUCUUAGUUUUCUAUUCUAAAGUUUGUUCAUCUCUUGCUCGGUAGAUUGAAGUGAGUAAGAUUUUUAUUAACAUUAUAAACAGUAACUAUUGUACUGUUGUGGGCUGAUUUGACGAAUUAUAAUUUAUGUUCAAGAGAUAUAUGCAUAAUUCUCAUGUGUCCUUUGUUGCUUCUAGUUAUUGGCUAAAAGAACAAAGAUCAAACAUCUUUUGUUUCCUUGUGCGCAGAAGUUCUUACCAAAGUUUAUGGAACUCAAAAAUAAAAUAUAUAUCAUUGUGUAGCAUUUGAAGUGUCUAAACUCUACUCAAGUAGGGCACUACCUUGUAAUUUAGAGGAUCUGUAUAAGGAAACGAUGAAAAUAUCCAGAGAAGUUACUGAUGCUACUGAGUGAGUGUUCAGAGUAUAUACGCAGUGAUAAAAUUUUUACCUUUCCCAAUUUAGUUAGAGUUGAUGAAGAAGACCUGGAAACAAAUAAGGCAAUUUUCUUCUUUUCAGGUUUGUGUUCCUCGUCCUUCGUCCUCAUCGUCAUCUUUUUCUCUUGAUUUUCUUCUUUCUCUAGACAAUUACAUUUUCAGUUCUUGAUGCUUAUUACUCUAGAAGUUGUUUGCUCUUCAUCACAGUUUGAUAUGAUCAGCCAACAUUAGACAAAGUUGAUGAAGAAGACCUGUAAACAAUAAAGAUCUGUAAUAGUUUGUCUGCUCUUCAUUAUGGUUCAGUAUCAUUAGUUCAUAUAUUUUUAAUUUCAACAGGCACACAUUUUUUUUCUUUGAGUUCUCGAUUCUUGGUACUGUAGUAGUUUGUCUGCUCUUCAUCAAAAUUUAAUAUGAUUGAUUCAUAUAUUAUUAAUUUCAACAAACACAAAACAUGAGUUCAAGGAAACUAAGUUUUCAAAAAGCUAAAACAGAGAACAUUAGACGAAGUUGACAAAGAAGACAUGGAAACAAACCAUGCAAUUUUCUUCAUUCCAGAUUUGUCUUCAUUCCUUUUCACCCUUGUCCUCGUCUUUCUCUUGGACUUCUUUUUUUUUAUGGUUAGCUUUUCAAUUCUCGGUCCUUAUUACUGUAGUAGUUGUCUACUCUUCCUCAUAGUUUAAUAUGAUUAGUUCAUAUAUUUUUAAUUUCAACAGGUAUGGAGUUAAGAAAAUUAAGUUUGCAGGAAGCUAAAGAAGAGAACAUUACAGAGUUGAUGAAGAAGACCUGAAAACAAACACAACUCAUAAAAGACAAAAAUAGAAUUUUCAAAAAUUUCAUUAUUUACAUGAAGUACCUGGAAACAAACAAAGUUGGAGAUUGCUGGAGAUUUAGAUAAAACACAAAGCUAGUGAAGAAGACCUCGAAAUUGGAGCUCUUUUUAUGGAAGAGUUUGAAAAUUGACAAAAGCAGAAUUCAUAAUAAUUUGUAUUUGGACAAAGAAAGGACUCUGAAAUAGUUGUUUUGCCAAAAUAAAGCUACGAUUUAUUUUUUAAAAAAAUAUAACAUUAUUAUUGUUGUAAUGUAAUAUAUUAGUAGUGUUUGAGUAUAAUUAUAACUUUGUUAUCAAAAUAAGACUGUAUAACCUAAAGAACUACGACAGUUGCACUUUUUUUAGACCAAGUAUAAUUUAGUUAGAAAUAUGUGUUAUAAUCAAUAUUUAAUAUAAAAAAAAUAAUAGAAAAAGGUGAAAAGACCAUUUUGUCUAAAGUAAAUAUUUUUAAUGAAGGAUAAAAAGUUCAAACGAUAUUUGUAAGGCUUCACACUUUUAAUAUAACUAGUUUAGGAUACGUGCGUUGCACGUGAAUUUUUAUUCUUACAAAAAAAAUACAUAAAUAUAUAAUUAUAAGAAUGAAUUGUGUGUAAUAUAAAUUAAUGCUUAAAUAAAUAUAAUAUUCAUUUAAAUGAAGAGAUAAUAUUAAUACAUUGACACAAAAUUUGUAUUCCAAGUAAAUUGAAUAUUUUUUGAAUUUGCAAGGACAAUGAAUAUAUAUUAUUUAGUUAAUUAUAUAGUAUAUGUCCCUGGCUAAUGUGGAAAAUGACUAAAUAUGUGUGUUAUAUAUUUCAUCAAAAUAAAAUAAAAAAAAGAUACUCAUAUUAUUUUCAAUAUCUCUAUCUAAAAAAACAAACAAAUAUAAUAACUAAAAUAUAAAUUAUUAAGAUUAAUACCUUCAUCAAAUACUCUAUCUUGCAAACUUAACAAAUUUUAAAAAACAGAAGAUUCACAUUUACAAAAAUCUAAUCUAAAAAACUUUUUUUCCUCUAGAAAAUAUCUAUAUAAUAAAUAAAUAAAUAUAAUAAUUAAAAUAUGAAUGAUUAAGAAAACCUUCAUCAAAUACUUUGGUUACAUGCCUUUUGUUCAAAAAAUUUCUAUUCAAAAAAUAAAUAAAUAUAACAAUUAAAAUAUGAAUGAUUAAGAUUAAGACCUUCAUCAAAUACUCUGUUGACACACCUUAACAAAUUUUUAAAAAGAAAAGAUCUAGAUCUACAAAAAGUAUAGUUCAAAAACUUUUGCUCCUCUAGAAAAUCUCUAUCCAAAGAUUAAAGAAAUAUAAUAAUUAAAAUCUGAAUAAUUAAGAUUAAAACCUUCAUCAAAUACUUUGGACACAGACCUUAACAUUAAAACAAAAAAUGUUCAACUCCUUGUUAUCCUUUCUGCAACUUUAGUCUCCAAGCUCCCUUUUGCUCCAACAACUUCUUCGUGACCAUCAUACACUUUUUUCACGUGAAUAAAGAAAUAUGUUCAUUAGUUAGAAGUCCAAACUUUUAGGAAAAAAAUAUAAUCAAAAUCGAGUUUCAAUUAAACGUAGAAAGAAACAAAAACAAUCUAUCUAAAAGAUAAUGUCAUAAAGUUAUCCUCAACCAUUGUUUUGUUUUUCUGCUUUCUAAAGCUAAUGUUUCUGUAAAGUUGUAGAAAUUCCUUGUCAAUUCUACAGUCAAUAUGUUCACAUCCCUAAAUAUGAUUUAUAACUUUGUGUUAAAAAUUGUAAUGCAAUACAAAAUUAAUAUUAUCAAACUUAAUCGAUUUACAUUAUAAAGUACAAGUACAAAUCCAUUUGAAAGACAUCAACAGAAAUUGUCUAUGAAGUUGAUAGUAAUUAGUUAUUGUACAUUUCAAGAACAUACAAAGAUUUUUAAAAACUUACCUCAAAUCACAAACAAAUUUGUAUCUUUAAUCAUAAGAUAUACUCCAUCCGUUUCAAAAAGAAUGACCUGCUUUCCUUUUUAGUCCGUUUAAAAAAGAAUGACCUCUUUCCUUUUUUGGCAAUACUUUAAUUUCAACUUUCCAUCUGACAUGUUUAUGACCACAAGAUUAGACAUUUUUGUACAUUUGACACUACUUUAAUUUAAAACCACAAGAUUCAAAAGUCUUCUUUAUUUUCUUAAACUUUGUACCAAGUCAAAGUAGAUCAUUUUUUUUUUAAAACGGAGGGAAUAUCAAGAUUCCAUAAAAAACUUCGCAAUUAGCAACUUUCUCAAAAAUACAUAAUGAUUUAUUUAUUGUAAACUUCAAGUACAUACUAAAAGUAUAGAUAACUUACCUCAAAUCUCAAACAAAUUUAUUUCUUUAAUCAUAGAUACUAUCAAGAUUAUAAAUAUCAAGAACAUGCUAAAAUUUUAGAAAACUUACCUUAAAUCAUAAACAAAUUUAUCUCUUUAAUCAUAGAUGCUAUAGUCACCCUAGAGCCCUAAAGCCAUCACUAUAGUCAACAUAUUAGAAUUUGAAUUCAUCAAUCAACUGUAAGGUACUACGUAAAUUGUAAAAAUAUAACAAAACUUAUCCUCCAUAAUAAACUAUGUUUUCUUCUCAAUUUAAGCAUUUAAGAUUAAUUUUUAAGUAUAGACAUACUUCAGGAUCCAUCCAUCUAUAAGUUUCGAUCUAUGUUGUCACAACAUUGAUUUUUACCUUCACCCUGACAACACCAAAAUCAACCACUUUAAUGACCUUAAAAGAGACAUUAGGUAAAAUUUUAUGCUAUAUUGAUCUUGACUAAGCUAACAAAAGAUACAACAUGAAUGUAAUAUUUUUGCGUACUCAAUUAGAAAAUACAAAGCCUUAAAAAAAGGUAUAUUGGAUAAUUUAAUACUUAGUCAAUCAUCAUUGAGUGAUUCUCUUGAAAAAAUUACUACAUGAUACCAUAUAUAAUAGUUGUACCUUUGUUGCACACAUUCUUUGUAAUGCAAAGGUCUCUUAGUAUAUCAAUAUAUAUUCCCACCUAGUUCUUUUGGCCUUCUCACCAUUAAAAUAGAGAAUGAUCAUCUGAAAUCACAGUACUAAAUCACAUCAACUCCGAUAUAAUAUAGAUUUUCUGCAUUCAUAAACAUAGUCAAGAUUUCAUACAUUAAAGAAUAUGAACUUAAAAAGAAAAUAUAAAUCUUUCCUGAAGAAAAAAAAACGAAAAACAAUUCGAGUGCUUUCUAUAUAAAACAAACACGAGAAAUAAUUCUUUCUCUAUAUAUAUACAUAGAUAUAUAACAAAUUAUAAACAUAUACUUGAUAAGUAACAGGGUAAGAAUCAGAGAAUGCUCUGGCAACACUUCUGCUGCAUCCAUUAACGUUAUUCCUACAAAAUAUUGAGCUAAAAUAACUUAAAACAGAUUAAAAAGAGGUGAAUAUUUAGAAAACACAAGCAUAAGUAAACCAAAUAAACUUCACUAACUAAAAUAAAUUAUAACUCAUUGAAAAUAAACAAAUAAGCACAAUACUAAAAAUUUAUAAACUCAAUUUUUUGAACGAUGAUAAAACUAAGUUGUGAGAAAAUAUUGAGUUGUUGACAUAAGCUCAGCAGAUCACGAAUCCAUGAAGACUUCGCCCAAUUUUGUCUCUCACAAGACCCCUUGUUCGCAAAUUACAUUACAAUUCGUCAAUUAUGAUAAGUACAGAUGUGAAAGACGAUGGUAAGCAGACUGUUGUUUUUCAUGAUGAGAUUCAUUCAGAUGUGAAACACGAUGAUAGUAAACAAGCUCUUGUUGAGAUUCAUGCAGAUCAUGUGAAACACGAUGAUAGUAAACAGAUUCAUGUUGAGAUUCAUGCAGAUGUGAAAGACGAUGGUAAGCAGACAGUUGUUUCUCAUGUUGAGAUUCAUUCAGAUGUGAAACAUACUCAACAUGAUGGAGAUGAAGAAGAUGAAGAAACUUUAGAGGAGGAGCUUCCUUAUAUACCUGAGUUGAAAGACUUCUACAAUCUGCUUUGAGUUUAUAAUUUGAAUCCGACAGUUGAAACCGCAGACCUAUAUACAAUUUUCUCGUUGUUUGAAACGGUGAUAACUGCUCAAGUUUUUAAAGAUGACAAGACUGGAUAUAGCCUCUGCUAUGGUUACGUUGAGUUCCAGGACAAGUUGGACUAUGUGCAAACAUAUUUUACAUGAAUGAUUGGGAUUUUAUUGCUAGUCAAAAGGUACAUAAGGUUAGGAGUUCUUUUUAUAUUAGGAGACAUUUUUUUAUCAUUUCUUUCAAUAUAUUUUAAAAUUUAUAUAUUUAUUUCUUUCCUUAUAUUUAUUUUAUUAAAUUUAUAAUUUAAAUAAGAUAUGCAAAAAAAAUAAUUUUACCUAGAGAAAAUUUUUUUAAUGAUAGAUAAAAUAUUUAUAAACCCUUCACACUUUAAAGAUAACAGAGAGAUAUAUAUAAUAUAGAUAUAGAUACGCACCAAUGAAUAGUCACGAAGGAUUUAAAAUAGUGUGUUCUAUGGAUUUAAGGGUUCAGUUGAGUUGACAGAGGUGAGUUCAGAAUACAAACAACAUACAAGGGUCUACUAAAAAGACUGUUUAAAAUCAGUAUAAGUUCUUCAACAAGAGGAGAGAGAUCUGAAUUUGGUGAUACUGAAAAAUCAUGGCUUCAAGUUCAACGAAAAACAGUCCGUUAUUACCCAUGACGACGGAUAUCGAUUCACCACCGCCGCGGACGGAGGAGAAGCUCUUCAAAGGAUCGGCCAUGACCAAACGCGGUGCUUAUGCUGCUAUCUCUUACAUGUCCUGUGCUGGUAUACAUACUUCCUCUUUCUUCCUUCCUAAUUUUUCUCCUUAUUUAUUUUCCAAUCUCUUCCCGUUGACUUAGCCAAAUUGCGUUUUUCAAAGUAUGCUUGAGGAAUGUGCGUCCUUCUGUAAUUGUUUUCAUUUUUCAAUUUUCUUCCAAUACUUUGAAACUUUUUGAAAUUGCAAUUUUUAGAGCUAGAAAUACAGUUGAAUUAUCUGUUUGAUUCAAAUUGAGAGGUUAUUUAUUGAUAGCGAGUUGAGUGAUUCGUCGUGGAACCAAGUGUGUUAGUUAAACGGUUGAAUUUUGCCCUUCUCCAUCACUUCGAAGAAACUAGUAUUGCGAUCAUUUAGAGCCAGCACGGGUAUUGCUUCUAUCCGUUCUAUUCAAAUCAAAAGUUUAUUUUGUGGAUGGCAAGUUGAGUAAUUCAUCAUGGAAUAAAGUAUUAUUCCAAAUUGUAUUAAGAGUUGUGCUCUGAUUCAUGUUUGGUGUUACUGAUGGGAAGUUCUCUCACUGACUGGGUCAUUAUUGCUUAGUUGUAUUCCACUGUCUGGUCAGCUAGCUGAAUGGGAUUAAAAUUUGUUGAACUAAUUAAUAUUGGUGGAACUUAGAUUUGGUUAGGUUGAAUCUAAUAAUUUGUUGACUCAUGUAGAAGCUAAACAUGUCAACUUUGCUAGUUGGUUGUAGCCCCAUAAAUCAAUUUUUGGUUAAAAAAUGGAAAGUUCAACUAUUCUGCUGUCCUUUGACAAAAACUUCUUUUGUUUUAUCUUUACUUUGUAUCGUUAUUCUUUUUGCUAUCUCUUCUUUCAAAUUUUUAAGAAGACGUAAAACAAUAAAUCAAUCAUAAGAAAACGGAAGGUUGUCCACAUAACAAAUUUAUUGUAGAAUUAGCAGUUGUGCUUAUUAGUUGAUGAAGAUUCUGAUGGUGUGGAAUCCAUUUUCACUUCUGAAGGCUUGGGUGCAAUGCUUCAAUCUUCAAGAGCAAACCGUUCAUCCAUGUACCAUGUUUAAAUUUUCACUGUUAUUAAAUAGUAUUAGUAGCACAAAAUCUUUGAAAUAUCAAGCUUAUAUGCCUUACACAUCAAAUGCCUUAGGUAUUGGCCAACUCAUUAGAAAAUACUGACAUUCAUUUAUAUUCUUUUCAAGUACUUCUUCCAUUUAAUUUUAUGUCUUAGUUUGACUAGACACGUAGUUUAAGAAAAUAACAAAGGUUUUCGGAUCUUUAUCGUCUUAAAUUAAAGCUGUUUAUAAUUUAUCAUAGUUUUCUUUGAAUCUUGUGGUUUUAAAUAUACCAGGUGAGAUAUUGGAAUUAAAGAGUUACUAAUAUAGAAAGUGACGUUCUUUUAAAGACAUACUAAAAAGGAAAGUAUGAUACAUCUAAAACAAAGGAGUAUAUUUCCUUUCCUCUUAUAUAUCAAAAUCUCAUGCUUGACUUUCUCAGCUAUUGAUGGCAUGAUCACAUGUUCUUUCAGAUGAAUUUAUCCAUCAUUAUGUAGUGGGGGAUGUUCAGGGAUUGGAUAGGAAAAAGAUUUUUACAGAAUUCGUUUAUACCAUCUAAAAUGUUACUAUCUUUAUACUGCACCAAGUGUUCAUUAAUAUGUUCAUUUAAUCUUGAUACUGCUAGGAUUUAGACCCUUUGUUUGUUCUUUUUAAUUAUUUAGCAUUUUUACCAACAAAUGUGUUGAUUAUCUUGGGUACUUUAUAAAUGUUGAUUAAAUCGUGUCUAUUCAAGCAUCCUUAAAAUGUCAUAUUUUGUCAAAUGAUAGACAUGUUUGAAGACUCCACUUUUCUUUUGCUGUGCUUUUUCCCAAGUCCAGAUUGUUUGGUGUUAUAAAUGGAUGAAUUCCAAGGGAUAAAAGUAAGUGGAUAAGGAAGGUCCAACUUACUCUUAAAUUUAACUUAAGAUGGACACUUGUGUUAUUAGGAAUCAUAGCAUUUAUGUCCAUUGGAGUUGUCUUUCUAGACAGUAUAAGCAACUACUCAGUAGUAAAUGUAUAGAAUUACUAGGUGUUGUAUCUUUGCCACAUAUUAUACUAUCUGAUUUAGACGAAUAGACCAUAUUUGUGUCUUUGUGGAUAUGACUAUUGUCCAUAUAUAUGCUACUCUAGUGUAUUGGGAGAUUUACAUAUUUUUGUUUUUGUUGGAAAUCCAGCAACUUUCUUUGCAUUAAUCAGUAAACAACACAAAACAGAAAUAACUAUUCUUUAUUGUCACCAGCAAGUAGAAUAAGUUUUACAAAUAGAGAAUGAAAUUCUAGCAUCCAAGGUAUUUCAAGGAAUCUUAACCUCCAAAUCUGCCAGUGAAAAUCCUACAUAAAAAUGACUGUCUUCCCUUCUUCCUAAACAACGUAACUUAAAAUAACUGCAUAAAACUGCAGUUAACUACUAGAAAUACAGGCACAUAAAUAUUAUAUAAAACAGUAAUAUUUAGGCCUUAUUUUCACCAUUUUUCGACCUUAGUAACAGCAGGUCUAAAACUUUCCCUUUUCUUUGUUGGUAAAUCCAUGUGUAAAUGCCAUCUUAUUGAUGAUAUUCUAGAACUUACUGCAAACAAACUAAAGUCUUUGUUCUUUAUCACACAGUUGAAAAAGUAAAGCCAAAAAGUUUCAGUUUUUGACUUCGAUUCCUGAAUGGAAACAUUAGAAUGCUGAAGAUAAAGACUCAAUAAGAUCCAAUUGUCUGUUGUUGCUUUAUUCUUAAUGUCCAAUUCUGGAUGUUUUUUUUUUCCGAGAAGGUAACAAUUAUUUCUGGAUGGUAGUCUUUGUCCAAAUUUUGCACUGUCAUUGGUUAAUCAUGUUCAUUUGGGUCAGCGGACUCCACUGAAUUCUAAAAAAUCGUUAAUUGGUGUAUAUAUCAGGAUGUUUAGUUGAGAAACCAGACACUUAAUAAUAUGACCUCAAUGACAAGAACUUAGGGCAUAGCCAUUGAUGACUAGGAGUGAUGCACGGUUCCAUUAAGCAUCACCUAACAUAGAAGAAUCUCAAAUUUGAGUCAAGUGCCGAAGUAUAGUUGUCAAUCUUGAAAUCAAUUCUGUCAGAUCAUUUUGGAGGAAUAUUGGAACUUCCUUUUUACCUUUCUAAGCAUUAUAUUGCUUAAGUUGAUUUAUUCCUAUUGUUUAUGAAGGUACGUCUUGGUUCUCCAUAAUUUAUAUUUCCUUGUGGUUUCCCGUUUGCCUUCAAGGAUGUUUCAAUCAUGUUCUUUUUGAGAAGCUUGCUGUAGUCGUUUUAUAGCACUGCUUGAUGCUUACAAAAUUACCUUAAAUUUACUUGCAGUUCUCUUGGUAUUGUUCAAUAAGGCAGCUCUUUCUUCAUACAACUUCCCAUCUGCAAAUGUCAUCACAUUCUGCCAGGUACCUAGAGACACUGUUUUUAGCAGGGAUGCCUUGUGAUCUCCGCAUUGGACCACACACUAUUUGUUCAUUUUCCUGGGCUGGUUACAGACAUUUGGUCUAUAAGCAAUUUGUCUUCAACAACAACAAACAACAGCGACGACCACAACAAUAACAUACCCAAUGUAAUCCCACAAAUGGGGUAUAGGGAGUGUGGUGUGUAUGCAGACCUUACCCCUACCGUGUGAGGGUAGAGAGGCUGUUUCUGACCUUUAAAUAGAUUUUCAAUUCAUCAUGCAAA